rnacentral:sRNA from 1 species
AUGGAUGAGAAUUUUGUUGCAGGUGAAAUUCAUCAAUUAGUUCCAAUGAGUUGUUUUGACUUAAAUGAAUUACCUGAAGAAGGUAUACUAUUUUAUUCUAUUUUAUUUUAUUUAUAGUUUAUAUUUCAUUUAUAAUUAAAUAUGAUGAUAUUUUUUUAUUUUUUAUUUUUUAUCCUUGUUACAACAUAGAACGAAUGAAUGAUAUUGUAAUUGCAAGUGGGAUUUAUCAAAGUGUUUCAAGGAAUUGUGUUGACUUAAAUGAGCUUCCAAAUGAUGGAGAAAAUAAUGACAGUUGUGGGGAGGAAUUAGUGGUUUGGAAUGAAUAUCCAAUGGAAGAAAUAGGAGUUAUUGAAGAAAAUGAAGAUAUUAAUUCAAUAGAAAAUGAGUUUGAGCCUUUUGUUGGUCAAUGUUUUCUUAGUGAAGAACAAGCUUUCAUUUUCUAUAAAAAUUAUGCAAAUCGAUAUGGUUUUACAAUUCGAAAAUGUCAUUUGUCACAAAAAAUAGAGAAAAUGUAAGACGUGAUUUCUUUUGUCACCAAGAAGGUAGACAACAAUUAAAAAGAGUGGAUUCAUCUAAGGAGCAACGAAAUAGGAUAUCUACAAGAUGUGGAUGCAAGCUCAUCUAAGAGUCACAUUAUGAAAGUCAUUUGCCAUUUUUCCACAAGAAUGACAUGUCACUAAGUUUGUUAUAGAUCACAAUCAUGAAUUGUUGUCCCCUUCGGAAGUGAGAUUUCUUCCGGCCAAUCGAGUUAUCACUAAAGAAGAUAAAGAUCGCAUUCUCUUAUUGAAAAAGGGUGGACUUUCAGUUAGGCAAAUAAUACGUGUUAUGGAGCUUGAGAAAGGUUUGAAGCAUGGAGAUCUUCCAUUUUUUAAAAGAGAUAUCCAUAACCUUUAUGUGAAAAUGAGAAGGAUGCAUGUAAUGAAUGAUGCUAUGGGUCUCUUACAAUUGUGCAAAGUUGUUAAGGAAAAGAAUUCUAAAUUUCAAUAUGCAUAUACAACUUAUGAAGAGAGUAGGUUGGAGCAUAUUUUUUGGAUGCCUACUCCUUGUUUUGAUUGGUACCAAAAAUAUGGAGAUGUGAUUGUUUUUUAUACUACUUACAAAGUAAAUGCGUAUGACAUGCCUUUUGGUAUUUUUGUUGGUAUCAAUAAUCAUGGAAAGACAACUCUCUUUGGUUGUGCACUUCUUUGAAAUGAAACAACUAGUGCAUUUCAAUGGUUAAUGAAGGUACGUAAAUUAUUUAAUUAUCUUGUAAGGUUGUGCAAUUAUUUUUCGAUUUUAUUUGAUUAAUUAGUAGUUUAAUAGUAUAUAUCCUACUAUAUUUUUUUUAUGUGCUAAUAACUUUGUAUUUGAUUUAUAGACUUUUGCAAAUUUAAUGAAGAAGUCACCUAAGGCAAUUUUAACAAAUCAAGAUCAAUGGAUUACAGAGGCAAUAUCAAAAGAAUUGCCAUCCACAAAACAUGUUUUUUGUAUAUGGCACAUUAUUGCUAAAUUUAGUGGUUGGUUUACGGCAAUUCUUCGUAGUCAAUAUUCAAAUUGGUGCACAGAUUUCUACAAGCUAUAAGUUAGACUCAUGUGAAGAAUUUGAGCAUCAAUGGUCUCAAGUAAUGGCAAAAUAUGACAUGCUUACUAACAAGCAUGUAAGUGGUUUAUAUCAAAUCAAGCAUUUUUUGGUACCAUGUUACCUUCGUGUCUAUUUUUUUGGGGGAAUGACAACAACCGGAAGAUCCGAAAGUAUAAAUGCAUUUAUCAAACGGUUUGUUAGUUACCACAUAAACUUGACGCAAUUUAUUGAACAAGUAAGUCAUUAUUUAUCGUUGCUUUCUUUUAUUGUAGAAUUUGAUUUAUUUUUUUAUUUGUUAAUAUUUGUAGUCGUUAUGUGUCUUUAAAUUAUUUACAAUUUGUAAUUUUAGGUUGACCUUGCCAUUGAAGAUAUUGAGCAAACACAAUCACAUGAUACAAUGUUGGAGAAAUAUAAAGGUUCUUCUUUAAGAACAUGGUCACCGAUAGAAGAACAAGCACAUAGUGUGUUGACACCCUAUGCUUUCAAAAAAUUUCAAGAGGAGUUUGGAAGAGCCACACAAUAUUCGGUGCUUCAAGAAAACAGUAUUGAAUUUGUGUUGCAAUAUUAUGAAGAAAAAACUAGUCAAAAGCACUUGGUCUUAUGGGAUCGUGAGAUGACUAGUUGUAGUUGCAAGAAUUUUGAAUUUUGGGGUAUACUUUAUCGUCACAUACUUAGUGUAUUCAUUCACAAAGAUUGUUACCGAAUUCCAUCUUUGUAUCUUCCACCACGUUGGUGUCGCGAAACAUCAUUAAGUGGAAAAGAAUUGAUAGUGUUGAGUGAUGAAAAUUUAGUGGACAAGGAAAAUAUGGUUGAUGCUAAUGCUAAUGAUGCUAUUGAUGGAGAUUGUUUUGUUCGUUGUCCCCCGCUCUCAAAGACGAAAGGUCGCCCAAAGCAAAAAAGAAUGAAAUGUGAAAAAGAAUUGGGAAAGCAAAAGAGAACUUGUGGGUUUUGUAAGCAUGUUGGCCAUAACAUCUGUACAUGUCCGGAGAAGGAAAAGGAGAAGGAAAACCCAACUUCCUCAAAUGGUGCAAAGAAAAUGAAAAAUUGUACUUCAAUAGAUAUGGGAUUGAACCCAAUAUUUUACUAUAGAAAUUUUGCCAUAGAAAUAAUAGUGUUUCACUAAAUUUGAAAUCUAAUGUCCCAUAUCAUAUCAUGUAUCAUGACACUUUUUCAAUUCAAAGCAAACUGGUCUUCUUACCACAUUUGAAACACAAAAUAGCGAGGUACUAUUUUUAAACUUAAAAUAAUUUUAAAAAUUACUAUUUAUGUUUUAUUGUCUUAGGACACUAAAUCUCUAACACCUCUAACCCACUACUAAUCAAUAAAAUAUUUUUAUUUCUUUCAUUUGAGAUUUUAUUAUUUUUACUAUUUAAAUAAAAUAAAUGUCAACUCUAUGUAAGACCCUAAAUCUAUUGGGAAAUAUAACGGGGCACCAACACAACGCCACCAAUUCAUGUAGGUUUGUCCCAACAAAAAGUUGGUGGAUUGAGGGUGGGGCCUCUCACAUACUUACUAUGAUAAGGCUAGUGGUAUAGGACCAGGAAAAAAAAAAAACGAUGACUCAAGCUUGUGCCAUCACAUAUACAAAUUGAAAUUGCAAACUCAAAAGGAAUUGGUCAUUGUUGCAAGAAUCAAGAUUUUAUUGUCAUGAUACUUAUUGACCUCAUAUCAUCUUGAAAUGUUACAAGCAUAGAAGUUAUAAGAAGAAAAUGUAGUGCGAAUGUGUAUUUGUCAAAAUUCACAUUCAAUAAAAACUUAAAAUUUAAAGAUUUUAUUGAUGUGAUCUUUAUUUUUCCUAGAAUUUUAAAAUUUUGAUUUUACCUCUUGAAGAUGUAUUUUGUUUACAUCAGUAGCCUCUUCAUUUAUACUUUUCCAUUAAGUGUCACAAAAUAAUGUUACACGUAGGGGUGUUCACAAAACCGCAUAAACCACAAAAACCGCCCACAAAAUAGCAUAACCACACCGCACCGCAUGUAACAAUACACUGCACCGCACCCCACCGCAUGGUGCAGUGUGGUUUGCAGUUUUAUAAUAAGAAAACCGCAUAAACCGCACCGCACCGCACACUCUCUCUAUAUUAAUAUAUUUAUUUAUUUUUAAUAUUAAAUAUAUUAUUAAUAGUUUAAUAACCCUAGUUUCCAAAAAAAAAAAAAGUUUGAUAACCCUAGCAAGUAUUAACUAGAAAAGCCAACCCAAAAUAAAGAAAAACUAGUUAAAUAAUUUAAAACUUGGCCCAAAAAAAAAAAUGGAAAAAAUUAGUUUUGGGAUGGGUAGGAAAUGCCCAAAAUUUGAAAAAUAUACCGACUUCAAAAUGCAUUUUAUAUAAAGUACUACACAUGUGACUGCAAAAAUAAGGUGUGGUGCGUUUAUGGUUUUGGCAAAACUCUAAACCGCACCACAAAAAUAAGAUGACGUGAAUAAUAGACACAAUUGAUACUUAUAAUAAAUUUCACAAUAAAUUUAGUUUUUCACAAAUACUUAUAAUAAAUUUCACAAUAAAUUUCAUUAUAAUUAAAAUAAUUAAUUGUAAUAUAAAUACUUAAAUAAUUUCACAAAUACUUAAAAAAAGUUGCAUUGGUAGCAUUAUUUAAUCAUUAAACUUAGAUAAUGGUUUGGAGUAGGAGCUAAGGAGUCAAAAAGUUAUUCACUGUGUACUGUGUAGGCCUUUAGAGCAUUCACAUCAGAUCAGUUAUAGUCUUCUAAAAUACAUAUACAGUGUAAAUUUUGCACAUUUUGAGCAAAAAAACACCCACAUUAGUGGGUGUAAAAAUAUGUAAAACCAUCCAUAUUUUUCCCCGAGCUACAGUACCCGUGUAAAUAUACACGGGUACUGUAGCUUGUGUAUAUACUAAAAUAAUAUUAUCCAGUUCGCACCAAAUUUUCUCUCCCCAUUCCGUGCACAACGACCUCAGACACACCCACACACAAACACAUAUCAACACACAAACAAACCCACACACAAAUAAACCCACACAGACAAACCAAAAGACACAGAGAUCGGAGCUUGGUUCGUGGGUCGUCGGAGCUUGGUUCGUGGAGCGUGGUUCGUGGAUCGGCUGGUGAAGACACGAUCUGGGUCGCCUGGGCUUGAUUCUGAGUCGCCGGAGCUUGGUUCGUGGAGCAUGGUUCGUGGAUCGGCCGGUGAAGACGCGAUCUGGGUCGCCGGGGCUUGGUUUUGGGUCGCCGGAGCUUGGUUCGUAGAUCUGUCGGUGAAGACGCGAUCUGGGUCGCCGGAGCUUGAUUUUUGGACCGGCCGGUGAAGAAAGCUUCUGAAUCCGGUGACGAACGACCGGUGAAGACGCGAUCUAGGUCGCCGGAACUUGAUUUCUGGACCGGCCGGUGAAGAAAGCUUCUGAACUGAAUCCGGUGAAGAACGGUCGGUGAAGAAAGCUUCUGAAUCCAAUGAAGAACGGCCGGUGAAGACGGAUAUCUGGGCUGGUAGUUUUUUGAGAAAGAACGAGACGGAGAGAGAGAGAUAAGAGAGAGGGCUGUUAAGAAAAAAAUGAGAAGAGAGAGGGAGAGGUGAUCUGAUAAGUGAGGGGGCGCGUAGGGUAGUUGGGAGAUAUAAUAAAAAAUAGGGAAGUGUGAAUAUUUUAUUUAAAUAGGUGUGUAUAAUAAACAGACUGAUGUAGGUGUCUUGUAAAAUUAAGUGUGUAAAAUAGAAAAAGUAGGUUUUGAAUGUGUAAAAUGGAAAAAUUUAUAAAUGAGCUGAUGCGAAUGCUCUUACGAAAAAAAAAAAAAAAGUUGUGUGGCUCUUUUUUGACCAUGUAUCCACAUGAGAACAACAUUUUUUUUUUUUUUCAGAAAUUGUGGUAUAACAGUUAAAACUUGUUUCAGAAAUUUUAUCUUCCUUUCAACUGCUACACCGCCACCUACAAGGGAGGAAAGUCUUGGUCUUUUUUUGACGAAAAAAGGUAGAAGUCUUGGUCUUCAAUGGUAAAUGUCUCUUCUCUUUCAAUUUCACUACAUUUUUUUUUUCUUUCUUUCCCUCAUUUUCUCUCAGAUCCCAUCUCUUACUCUGUAUUUUUUCUUUCUUUCUUUCAUUUCCUUAACAGAUAGAGACCAUUGAAAUCAAAGAGAACUCAAGCAUGAAAUGGGGAUGGCUUCAAGGAACACCCGAUCAUGAACAACGCCUGGUUGACGCACCCAUUUCAAGGUCCCUCCUGUCGUCGGCAACAAAUAGUUGUUCAGCUUUGAACAUUUCCAAUGCCGAGAUUCACAAAUAUUUAAAACCCAUAUCGAUUUCUUUUUUUAAAAUAUUUAAGUCAUAAUUUUUUUUUUAUUGAUUAUAUGUUCUGGUUUUGUUCUAGUAACAUCUGAAAUUUGUAUGAGGUGUAAUUUUUGUAAGAGGAUUUUUUUUUGUAAUGAGAAUUUUUGUAAGAGGUUGUUUGGUGGUAGAGUGUGAACUUGUUUCAGUCGUGUAACUUGUGUUUCAACUUUCGAGGAGGAGGAGGAGAAAUGAGUGAAGGGUAGUUUAGUCUUUUUGGAAAAAUAUAAUUUGUCAGAUGCUUUUCUCUUGUCCCAUAAGUGUCACUGUUGGUUUGUGAAAAAGCAAAACAAAACUAAUAAAGUAUUCUUUUAUAUGUACGGUUAAUGUGUGCCCUUAGGACAUUAACCGGACCCUUCAUAUUAAUAGCCAUUUUCAUGGAAGGCUUAAACUUCUAAUACUAAAGCCCUUCUCCUAAAAGACACAGACCUUAUACUAAAAGCCCUUCUUAUGGAGGGCAAUAUCACACAUAUUUUUGCUAAGAUUAAAAGAGUAUUAUCACGGGGAAGUUUAUUUAAGUGCGUGAUAAGAGGGAUAAACUUAAUUAGCCUCUACAUAUGGUUGGGCAUAUUCUCUCUCCCUCCAGUUGCAUCCAUUUUUUCCUUUCAAUCAUGAACUCAUCAUGGUGAGACUUAUCAUGGCAUAUUACCUUUCCACUGCUGGAGUUAUAUUGUUAGAAUGUUAUCAGCUUACUGAUGUUAUACAGAUAGAGCUACAAACAAUACAAAGAUAAGUGACUAUGUUUCCAUAUUUCUAAAUAUACAUAACUGAGUAUAUAAUUACUUCACCUUUAAAUACAAAUUACUUUAAUAUUACAUUAUUAUCUAACAAAAAAGAUUUCACUAGUGUUUCACUAAUAAACAUAUGUACUAAUAAAUUGAUUUGCCAUUGUUGGAAAUAUAUUAUUUGAAUGUAAACCUCAGCUGGACAUACAUUAUUUGAACAUAUACCACAGUUGGACAUAAAUGACUUGACAUACAUUAUCAGGACAUAUUCCACUGCUAGACAUACAUUAUUUAAACAUAAACCACAACUGGACAUGAACUAUUUUGGACCCAUCCCAAUGUUGGAUAUACAUGAUUAUGAUCUUUAAUUCAUUAUUUAAUCAAAAUAUUUCACUAAAUACAUGUUACCAUUAAUCAAGGUUAUUAUACAAAACAUAUAUUAUUUACUUUAUUUUAACUAUUAUCAUGAUUUUUAGACUUUGGGCGUUACCCAUUUUGUAGGCCUAAAAUACAUCGGAAGUCAUUGGACUAUGCAGCCUAAUGUCGAGUUCUAGACUCAACUCCCCAGAUAAAUCCGAGUCUAGCAAGGUCACCCUUCCAACAAACAAAGCAGACAACACAUGGCUGCAUAGUGAAAAAUGGCCCCCAAACAUAGGGUAAUUUGGUCAUUUAGGUAUUUCAAUAGUAUUUUGUGGUUUAAAGGUAAUUUUGGAUUUUUUUUUUGGUGUUAAGGCAAUUUUUUAAUCAAUUUGUUAUUGUAAUAAUUUUAGUUGUUUCUAAGAAUGUUUAUGAAUCAAGUAUAUGAAUGUUACAUUCUUGAAUUAAGAUUGGAAAUUUGGAAUGUAAUUAGUGAAUCAAACACCUUAAUUUUAUAUUGCUGUAAUGUAAUGUGAUUACAUGAAUUUAAGGUUACAAGAAUAUAACAUUAAGCCAGCCAAAUACCAUCUAAGAGCAUUCACACAUGCACUUGCAUAUUGCAUGUGUUGAGAUAUUUUACCAUCAAAGCGCAAAAGACAUGCUUUAUCUGCAUUGCUAAUUGCAAAAAAAUUUGCAAUAGUGCUACAGUACUGUCUUACAUAUAAGACGGUACUGUAGUAACUUGUAAAACUUUCUAUAUUUUAUUAAUUUCUCCUCUCUCUCUCUCUCUCAAUCACUUUUGGGUUAUAUAUUUUAUUGAAUAAAUAUAUUAUUUUAAUGUAUUGUAUAGGAAAAUAAAAGUUAAAAUUUUAAAUGUGUUGUAAAAUUGUAUGGUAUAAAUAAUAAAAUAAUUUUUGAGAUGGUGAAAUAAAUUUUUUUUUGUAAAAACCGGAUGCAAAUAUUGGUUAAAAUAGGUAAAAUAAUUUUUUUAAUGCGGCAAAUGUUUUAUUUUUAAAUAAAUUUUUUUGGGUAGGUGUUAGAAGAAUUACAAUACACGUGUAAUAAAAAUGUAUAGGCAAGCAUCUCAAUUUUUUCUUUUUUUUUUUGGGUAGAAAGCUUAUCAAUUCUCUGCCACUUGAAAAAACGAUAAACCCACUCUCUCACUCUCACUCUUCUUCACUUCACUGAUUUUCUUUCAAUUCCGUAGAGAAGAUGCUUCAAACGGCAUUGUCCGCUGCUCCAACAACUCUCUUAUUCGCUCCAUGCGGUAACAAACUAAGUCCCGUUCUCUUCUCUCAACGACGUCGCUCCCUCGCGCUCCUCCCUCGCUGGCAUUUCAAUCGUACAAGACCUAGACCUAAACCUAAACCUAAACCUUUUUCAGCGGGUACUUUUCUUUGUUUGCUCUCCGAGAAAGUGUUGAAAAUGCUAUACAUGGAAAUAAAAUAAAAAUGAUUUUUGUUAUUGAAUUCAGUGCGAUAAUAGUUCAAUUGUAAGUAAAUUUCGUCACUAGCGUUGGUUUGUCUAAUGUCCUCUCGUGUGUUUAUUGUGUAUUCCACCCGCUGUUUGGUUGCAAGGAAAGUGGAGGAAACCGAAAAUUUGAAAUAUCAGAAAUGCAAGAAUUUCAGUCUUCUUUAUUUUAUUUUUUGUUACAAUUUCUUGGCAACCAAAUGGUGUUGAAUUCUAUCAGGGAAUUUGUUCAAAUAUUGUUUGGUUGCUGAGAAAAUUGCACACAAGUGAUGGAAAGUGAAAUUUGAAGUCUUACACCGUUGCUAAGAGUAAGACUUGGUUUUUGAAAGUUUUGUAUUGAACUUGGAGCCUUAUUCAUCACUUGUUUUUUACAUUCCAGUUGCUGCAACAGAGAAUGGUGUGUUUUCUUCUCCAGAGAUGGCAAAGUCAUUUGAUUUCACUUCGGAGGAGCGAAUAUACAAUUGGUAUUUUAUUUUGUGAUAGAGCUCCUGCUAAUAUAUGCGCUUGAAUUGAUUUUUAUUUUAUUUUAUUCUGUAAGCCAUUAACUUCCCAGUGAAUAAGUGAUCCAUUUUGCUUAUUCUCUUUAUUUCUACUCUGAUGUAUAUAUGUUAAAUUGUUAUAUUUGUUUCUUCACUUUGGUUGAUGAAUAGAUAUUUUGUUUAAGUUAAGUUAAAAUCUUACUACAAUGGUCAGUAUGACAUAUUUCAUAAUGACCACUCCUUUGUUUUAAUAUUAUUAUUAUUAUUAUUAUUAGUUAUGCUACUGCUGGAAACCAAUCGCAUUCUAUAUUGCCAUUGUUCUAUUUGGUUUCAUGUGUGGUAAUACUGUGUGUGGAGCCUGAUAUAUUCCAUAAUGGUGAUAUAAUUUUCAUAAGCCCGUUAUACAUGGAUGUAUGCAUUCACAAAAUGCAACCUAUUUUGCUCCUGGAGGAAACUCAAAACUGAUAUAGAAGCCUGUGAAUCUAACAUGGCAGUAACACUCCAUAACAGUAGUAUACAGAAGAUGGAUACUAUAGCUAUUAAUCUAGUGCUGUCUAAUAGCUUUACAGUUGAUGGGUAUAUAGCAAUUUGUGUAUUUUUCUCUCUCACCCCUUAUAAAUGCAUGGGUGCUUCUUUUUAUGGGAAAGGCCUCCUGUUUAUUGCAUAUCCUUUCAUAUAUAUAUAUAUAUAUAUUCUCUUUUUGCCUAUUUUUUAUGUUUAAAAUUUUAAAUAAUUUACUAUCUACUUAAUAAAGAAUGCAAUACCUUUAUUCUGUAUAGAAUGUGAUUUUUAUAAAACCUUGACUUGGUCUCAAAAUGAGGUAUAACUUUUAAAAGCAUCACUUUUUUCAAGAUACAACUGUUCUCUUUCACAAUAACCAAAACAAGCUCAUCCAAGCGCACACUACAAGUUUCAAGAGGCCAACUCAUGUAUUUAAACAUAUAUUGGACCUAAUUGUACUAAUUUAAAUCUAGUUUUCACCCUUCCUUAACCUCUGUGUGUGUUUGUGAAUUGAGUGCAGUCUUGGGGUUUUUAACUUUCCUUUUUUCUCAUUGUCUCAUGUCUUGGUGUUGGUUAUCAUACUGCUGCUUGCAUAAUUUCUCAAGCAUGGUGUUGAUUGUAUUUUCAGCUUUGUAAUCUGGUGUUAGUAAUUGUUGGAAUUAGGUGGGAGUCUCAAGGGUAUUUUAGGCCAAACUUCGACAGAGGAAGUGUUCCAUUUGUGAUAUCAAUGCCGCCUCCUAAUGUUACUGGUUCACUGCACAUGGGGCAUGCAAUGUUUGUUACUCUUGAGGUUGUGAAGUUGCUUUUAAAUUCUUGUUCUGUUUAUUAUGAUUUUGUCAAAAUACAUGCCAUUUGGCUUGAAAUCCUGAAAAUGCUGAUUGUAUACCCAAGCUAUACUUAUACUGCUUUUGGAGUUGUUAAUUUUGUAUGUUAAAUGGAAUUGCUUUUGUUUACUCUUUGUAUACUGCCUAUAUACUAGGGUGGUGUUCCUUUGUGCUUUUCUAAUAAAAUUUAUAACAUAAAAGAAGAAGAAGAAGAAGAAGAAGAAGAAGAAGAAGAAGUGAUUAUUCAACACCUGAUCUCCUGCAUUGUCAUAGGGAUUACUACACUUAAAAUGCUCUAGGACUUCGUUUGCAUGUACCACUAUAUCCUACUUACCAUUAUAUGCUCCAGAAAAACCUUGAAUUAUUAUCCUUAAAGCUUAAACUAGCUCUAGCUAUUAUACUUUUAUGAAUAUGUGGAUGCCAUAAAUGUCACUUUUCCCUCAUUCAUUGAAAUCUAUUGCUUAGCUAUGUUUUAUCUUUUCCCUUAUUGUUGUUUUCUUUAAAAAUGCAUGGUGGAUUUUUACUUUCUUCUAUCAGUUGCUAUAAAUCAACUUUCCAUUAGUGUGUUAUAGUGAUCAAUCUGUUCAUGUCAAUAUCACACAUAAUCAAUCCUCUGUUUCUCUCCUCUGUUGUUAUUAUUUGGAAGUUUUCUUGCAAGGGUUCAAGAUCAACUGAUUUUAUAGUUCAUGGUCAUUACUUUGUGGACUAAGACAAGUAAUGACGAAAUUUUUUUCUUUUCUCCUUGUGUGUCUAUAUAUAUUGACGUUGAUAAAAUAUAGGCAUUCUGUGCCUCUCCCUCUUUUUUAUUUGUGCCUUUGGUAAGGCUUAGUUUUUUUUUGUUUUGUUUUGUUUUGUUUUUUUUUGCUUUUAUUUUUUUGUUUUUUUUUUUGGUUUUGAUAAGUAAUUAAGAUUUAUUAAUAUAAAAAAAGAGACAGCCAAGCAUAUAGGGAGUAUAAAUGGGUGUACAGAUUAAAUGCAAAAAUUACAUGCAUCAAGUAAAUCCAAAAUUGAAGAAAAGGGUUGGUUUCUCCACACCGAGAACCAAUCCAAUAAAGUUUAAAAAAGUAAUAACUUGAGAUUAGGCCUAGAAUGCUCACUGUCUUCAAAGAACCUACUAUUUCUUUCCUUCCAAAUACACCACCUCAAACAAUGAGGAACAACGAUCCAUAUAUAUCCAUUACGAUGGUGACCAAAUUGACCUUGCCAGCAAGUAAGAAGCUUAACAACAGACUUUGGCAUGGUACAUCUGCACCUAGAAAGAAGUUAAAAAGUUGUAUAUAAGAAAUAGGCUGGCUUAUAUAUAAAAGAAGUUUAAUCAUUUUUGGUUGUAAUGUAUACGCAUCAUGUUAUUGAUUAAUAAAAAGAUUAUCUGUUCUUAGUUCUUUCCUCAUGAUGUCAAUUUAAUUAGUUUUUAUGUUUUGCUCUACUAGGAUAUUAUGGUUAGAUACCAUCGAAUGAAGGGAAGACCAACACUUUGGCUUCCUGGGACUGAUCAUGCUGGCAUUGCAACUCAGGUUUGUGUCUGAAUUAUGAGCUUUUGUAUCUGUAUCCAUGUUCUAAUUGGGUUUGAUAUUCACAACAAAACACUAUUUUGCACUCUACAUUUUGGGGUCAUAGUCAAUUUGGUCUUUAUAAUUUGGUAGUAGUCAAUUUGGUUCCUGUUAUUUUUAACUUGUAGUCAAUUUGGUUCUUACCGUUAAUUGACUUACUGAAAAUGUUUAUGUGGCACACUCGAGGCUUAUGUGUCCAAUAAAAUAAUAUUUUAAAAUUUUUAAUUCACUUUAAAACAGGCCAGAUAAGUAUUUGACUGAUUAGAAAGUCUAUGUCAAAAAAAGAAAAAUUAACCAAAAAAAACAAUAAUACACAUACCAGUCAUUUUUUUUAUAGGUAAGAAAAAAUAUUAUUGAAGAUGUAAAAGCAUGACAAAUAUACAAUGUUCAUGAUAGUGAACAAAGUGAAAAAAGAAUUAAAAACAAACAAACUGACACUAAACUAUUCUAAGAGACAAAAGAAAAUCCGUAAGUGUACCUGAGAGACCCCAACACUGAGACCAAUCAAAAAGGGUCCGAUGGCAUAAAUCUAACAAUUGAGCUAGAAAUUUCCUAGUAUCCUCAAAAGAACGUUGAUUCCAUUCAGUCCAAAUAGUUCACACUAAACAACUCGGAACCAAAUUCCAAAUGUUAGAAUUAUGUUUCCCAAGCUAAUGAUACCAAAAAAAAAAAAAAAAAGUCUGCAACUGAGCCUAGCAUGACCCAAUCAAUCCUAAACAACCGAAGCAUAUACCAGUCAUCAAACGCAGAAACACUAUUUCGAAUCCCUUAAGCUGAAACACAGCAAAUUCUUGUUGAAAAUGGUCAUAUCAUCAAAUCAUUGACCUGUGUUUUAUGUUGUAAAAUGCAAAAAUCAUGUCAUGUGCAAGAUUGGAACCUUAGGCCUUGUUUGGGUAUUGACUAUCUACCACUCAUCACUCAAAUAUCAUCACUCAUUACUCAUCACUCUGUAACUCAUUUCUUAAAACUUAAAAAUACCCAAAACACACCCCAACGUUGUUUGGCACCUAAACCCGGUUCAAUUUCCAAUCCAAAAACUCAAAAAACUCACCUUUUGUGGGACCCACUCAUUGACCAUUGUGUAGUGCACAUUGAACGGCUACUUGCGGAUGCCUUCACUUUUGUUUGUAUUGUCCUUACUACUCCUCUUUUAUUUUCAUUAUUUCCUUGGGUUAUGUCAUGGUUUUUUUUUAACCCCAUUUUUUUGUUUUGUAUCAUGGAUGAUGUAAUUAUUUAUGUUCACUCAAAUAUCAUUUUUUUUCCUGUUCAAUUGUAAAACCCAUCCCCACAUAACUAUGUAUGAGAUUUGUUUAAACUUGUGGGAUCCGGCCAAAGUUUCACAACCCACAACUAAGAAAAAUGAAAGAAGAAAAGAAAAAGGAUGACCAAAGAAACCUAGCACCCAAACCGGCGGAGCCAAGAAGAAAGAUUGUGUGUCUAAUCUGUGGAGGCCGAAAUUGGUGAGUUUGUUGCAGCUUUAUCCUUGGUCUUUGCCAUCACAGGUAGCGGGGAGCUGUCAGAUGGAGAUCUCCUUCAGCUAUGGUAUGAAUCUCCUUCAGAUGGGUGUUGUAGACUGGAGCUUUUGCUUUGGGUUUGGGAGCUUCUUCAGAAGAGAGUGAAGUGUGAACAAAAGGAAAAUAGUUGGUUGUAAGGAAAAGUGAGUUUUGACUGUUGGGGGGAGUAAAGGCUGAGACGGAUGAGACAAGCCUUUGUCCGUGGGGCCCAACCUGUGAGGAAAAUUAUAAUUGUGCCAUCUUAACUCAGUUUUGAUAACUUGAAAACAACUUUUUUUUUUUUUUUUUGAAUUCACUAACCCAUAACUCAAAAAUGUGAAAUAUGAGUGAUGGAAACAAAACAUGAAAACGCAGCCAAACAACUAUUAGGUAUGUGGGGCCCACAUAUUUUGAGUUAAGAGUGAUGAAAACAGAGAUAUGAGUUAUAGAAAACUCUAAAUCCAAACAACCCCUUAAUUAUUUAAUAGGAUUGUAAGUGUUUUAAGAAUUGGGAUUACUCAACAAAGAAUUAAUGUUGCUUUGCACUUGUGGUUAGAAAUUUGUUCAUGGGUAGAAAUCGAUUGAAGCUAUGAGAUACCAAAUCAAAUACAGCAUCAAAAUUAACUCCUUGUAUCUUCUCCAUUUGCUUUUUUCUUACCACCCAUACAUAAAUUUUAUCAUAAAACUAAAAUCCAUCACAUCCCAAAGCAAACCUAUCAACCCAAAUCCAUCGCAAUCCAGAUCCACUCAUGGUGCUAUCGAGCUGCUCAUGGGUACGAUUUGAUUGCGGUGGUGCUCGUGCUUUGUCGCUAUCCAGAUCGCAAACCCAUGCAACAGACCCCAUCACUCCUAAUCGUAACCUUCAGAGCAAAAUUGAAGCAAUCCCAACCCACCUCCAUUGCUUAAAGAGAGAGCACAGAUGAGAGAAACCAAAAAUAGGAGAAAAGGAGAAAGAAAUGAACUGAGAAAUUUUGAGGUGUGGGUUUUUGAAGGGUAGAAAAGAUCAGAUCUGUGUUGCUUUGUAUGUUUGGUUUUUGGGGAUUUGGGUUGGAAAGUGAUAUUUGAUUUACAGACCUAUCUCGUUGAGGAAGAGCCAACCAAAAUAAGCAAACUGAGAGAUGGCCAUGGAGUGGUGUUCAGCAGGUCACGAAAGUUCAAGAAUUUUUUUUGUCUCUAGGAAGCAUUGUUUGUUACCAAGAAAGUUGGAAAAAAAAAAAAUUAAUUCCUUACAUUCAUCCAAAAAUUUUAUUUAAAUUUUUGUGAUAUGGAUUUUUUAAUAAAAUUGUUGAUGUGGCUUUUUUUAGUAACAAUUAAAUAUUUUUUUAAUUACUUUAUUAGCCACAUGUGUGCUAACUGUACACACUGUUUGCCACGUAAGUAUUUUCCGUUAUUGUGUUAACGGUAGGGACCAAAUUGACUGCAAGUUGAAAAUAACAGGGACUAAAUUGACUGCUACCAAGAUGUAGGGACAAAAAUAUUAUUUUCGUCUAUAUAUUCAUUCAUUCCCCCAAUCUUGUACAAAAUAUUUUAUUCUUCCAAAUUUGUUUAAAACUUAUGAUGAUUUAUAGACUUAAUAAACUUUGUUGGUUACAUAUUCAUGAUUAGGAUUAGAUUUUAUUUUAUUUUAUCUUUUAAAUGCCAGCUAACAUUCUUUGACUAGCCUCUAUUUGCACUUACUGUGGAUUAUAUUAAUCAUUUUUUUUUAAUAAUUUCUCUUCUUUAUCACAAAAUUUCUUUCUGAAGCUAUUAUAUUGGUUUUUGUGAUUUUUACUUCAUUUCCUCCCAGUUGGUUGUGGAAAGAAUGCUUGCAUCUGAAGGAAUCAAAAGGGCUGAACUGAGUAGAGAUGAGUUCACAAAACAUGUUUGGGAGUGGAAAGAGAAGUACUAAUUCUCUUAUAACCUCUGUUGUUAGUUUUUCUGCUGUCUAUGUUAUUCAAUUAUGUGUGGCAAGGCUUUUGUGCUUGCAUUGAUGUACUACUAGUAUGCCCAGUUAAGCAAAACAUUUUGAGCGCAUUCUCACUAUGAUUAAUAUCUUCUUUCAAGGAAGAAAAUGGAGAGCUUUAGAGAGAGAGAGGGGGGGGGGGGGGAAGAAGAGCCACCUUACUUGCCCUGCAUUCAAAAGUAUAAUUGUUAAUUUUAAUUAAUAUUUUGACAUAGCUCUAUGUGUGUGUGUGCACCUCUCAUGGGACCCUUUUCUAUAUUUAUUUUUAUUAAGAAUUUACAAUUCUUAGGAACUCAUAGUUUACAGAUUUUGAUUAGUUAAAUUUUGUUCACAACUAGAUAUGUGUCUUUGUCUAGAUAGAAAAGAGAAUUACAUGUUCUAAUGAAAUAAGAUGUGUUCUUCCGUAUCUUCCCUUCACCUAUAUAUAUAUAUAUAUAUGUAUAUUUUGUUGUGAUAAAUAACGGAAUUUUAUUAAUGAAAAAUCUAGGUACAUCGGGUGUGUACAUGGAUAGCAGAACAUCAAACUCCUAAAUUACAAUGAUCAAUCAUUUCUAAAAAAUUAGAACAAGGAAAAAUAUUAAAGGACGAACGCCACUCUAGCAAGGUGCGGAAAAGGAGAGAUUUAAGUUCUGAAAUAAUCCGUUCCUUCCCCUCGAAACAUCUUGAGUUCCGUUCUAGCCAAAUACACCAUAAAACACAAUGUGGUACAGCCCUCCAUAAAUUAAUGCUCUGAUGUCCACCUAAGGAACCUUGCCUACUUGAAAGUAAAUCAGUAACACUUUGCGGCAUAGCCCAUAGAAGACCAAAUAGAGUCCACACUAUAGACCAUAACUCUUAAGCAAUAGGAUAAUGAAGAAGAAGAUGAUUCACCGAUUCCCCACUCUUUUCAACAUAAGUUCUCAAUAGCCAGAAUCUUACCUAAUGCGGCAGCCCAUGAGAAGAAAGCAAUUCUAGGAGGGAUCUUUGAACGCCACACAAGUUUUCAUAGGAAAAGAGUGUUAGGAGUAGAGGAAAGGGAGAAAUAGUACUCACUCACUUUAAAACUCUUAUUCAAUGCUGGUUCCCACCUAAGGUUGUCUUGACCUUCAUCAUUAAGAAGCAUAGAAUUGAUAAGAUGUAGAAAAGUGUAAAAAUGUUUCAAUUCCCAAUCUUGGGCAUCCCUAGAAAAUUGAAGAUCCCAGUGAAGCCUCUGGUUAGGAAAGUGCAUAACAUCCUCAAUAGAAGACCCCUUAUUACAACUAAUGCUAUAAAGUUUUGGAAAUGCCUUUUGGAGAGUACACCCCCACACCACACAUGAUGCCAAAAUUUAAUUCUAUUACCAACACCAACCUCGAAGUGAAUGGAUUUUGGAAAGGCUGGUCAGCCUUGUCUUAUGGUACUCCAAAGACUAACACUGUAAGGAUUAGAGACUCCUUUUGUACCCCAACCAGCCCGAUCAUUCCCAUAGUUAGUCUCAAUGACCCGCAUGUAGAGGUGGGUUGUCUCUGCUCCGUAUCUCCACGACCAUUUUACCAACAAAGCUUGAUUGAAAAUUCUCAAAUUUCUAAUGCCCAAACUGCCGGAUUGCAAGGUUGUACAAACUUGGGCCCACUUAACUAGAUGAAAUUUAGGGGACUCAUCUAUCACACUCCAUAAAAAAUUCCUCCGAGGCCUCUCAAUAUGGUUAGCAAUAUCCACGGGAAUAGGGAAGAGUGAUGGGAAAUAAGUUGGCAAACUUGAGAGAGUGCUUUUAAUUAAAGUAAUCUUACCUCCCUUUAAUAAAUAUAUCACCUCCAACUAGCUAAUAUUCACUUCAUUUUUUCUAGAAUAGAGUUCCAAAUCGCCCUAUCCUUGAAUUUAGCACCCAAAGGAUGUCCCAAGUAUGUCAUUAGACACCUCUAUAAUUGGAACUAACUCUGACUUAGCCAGGUUAAUGUGCAGCCUCGGCACCGCUUCAAAUGAGGAUAAAAUCUCCUGAAAAUUAUCAAUCUAACUAGUAGAAGCAUCACAAAAAAUUAAAGUGUCAUUCACAAAGAGAAUAUGGGACAUCAUCAGGGGAUUAUUAGUCUUAGUACCAACAGUGAAACCAGAGAUGCGUCUAGCCAGAACUGCACCAUCCAACAUGCGCCUUAAAGCCUACAUAACAAUAGCAAAUAAGAGCAGGGAGAGAGGAUCACCUUGGUGUAGCUCCCUAGAGCUCCUUAAGAAAUCCUUAGAGGUUCCAUUUAUCAUAAUUGAAAAUCUCACCGUGGAUAUACAAAACAUAAUCGACUUUCUCCAUUUCUUAGAGACUCCACAGCGCUGCAACAUAUAUAUAAGAAAGUCCCAACUUACAUGAUCAAAAGCUUUCUCCACAUCUAACUUACAUAAAACACCUUGUAUCCUUGCCUUGAGCCUACUAUCCAAACGCUCAUUAGCAAUUAAAACAGAACCUAGGAUUUGCCUAUCCUGGAGAUUUAUUGCCUUUACAACCUUGGAUGACACCAUAUACUUCAUCUUCCUCAAAAGGUCUAUCUAACCAAACAACCUCCUCCUAGAAAUUGAAGAGAAUUCCACUUCAUCUAGCACAAGCAUUUGACCCUCAUUCUCAGAGUAUAAUUGUUUGUAGAAAUGAGAGACGCAUGCUGAUAUGGAAUUUGGAUCCCAUCACAACUCACCAUCCACCAAAAGAUUGUUUAUGGGAUUAAACCUUCUGUGGGAGUUUGCUGUUCUAUGAAAGAACUUAGUGUUUCUGUCCCCCUCUUGGAUCCAGAGGGCCCUAGAUAUUUGUCUCCAAUCUCAACCAUAAGAGUUACCUUUUUAAGCUCAACGAGGAGUUGUUAUUUUUCCAAAUUCUCAUCAUUGGUUAGAGGACGGCUAUCUUCCAUCAAAUCUAAUUCUUCAAGAUCCUUCCAUAACUUGUUCGUCUUAUCCUCCACAUUGCCAAAUUCUUCCUCAUUCCAUUAUUUCAAAUCUAGCUUCAAAACUUUCAAUUUGCUAGCAAUCCAAAAGCUAGGGGAACCUUGAAAAUGAUAGGACUCCCACCAGGUUCUCACUUUCUCCACAAAACCCUCGGCCUUCAACCAAAUAUUCUUAAAGUGAAAAGGGUGGUUGCCCUAGUGAAAAUUUUCCCCUUCUAAAAGAACUAGAAAGUGGUUUGAGAGUAGCCUAUGCAGUCUUUUUUGACAAUUGUUAGGAAAGUGCUCUUCCAAAUCUAAAGAUAGAAGAAACCUGUCAAGCCUAGACUGUGAAGCCACCUCUCUAGAAUUAGACCAAGUGAAAGUACCCCUUCCAAUGGUAAAUCUAUAAGAAUGUGUAUAGAAAUGAAAUCUGAAAAUUCAAGCAUGGCAAAUGAGAAGGAAUCUACACCAAGCCCCUCUGAAGGAAAUCACAGUACAUUAAAUUCACUACCAAUGCACCAAGGCACAUUCCACCAACUAUGAAUACCAGCCAACUUUUCCCAAAGCAAUCGUCGGUCACGAUCAGAAUUUGGUCCAUAAAAACUAGUGAAAGCUCAUACAAAUUGAUCUAUCACAUUCUUAAAUUUGCAUGAAACAUAAAAUCUUUCCACUGCUUCACUAAUGUUUUCCACCAUCCUUCUAUCCCACAUCACCAAAACAACCCCUGAAGCACCAAUAGAGCCCAAAUAUAGGCAAUUCAAAUGUUGACAACCCCACAAGCUCUAUAUCUCCCUCCUUGUUAUCAAUUCCAUUUUUGUUUCCUAAAUACAAAUAUUUUUAGCACCCCAACUCCUGAUCAUAUUCUGAAUUCGAAGUCUUUUGUCAUGAUCGUUCAACCCCCUAACAUUCCAAUAGAUAAUUUUCAGAUUCAUUGAUGCCCCACUAAAUCCCGUUACCCACUUGAACUUCUUGACAAAGCAUAUAUCUUCUCAAGAUUCCAAGAAUUUAGCAGGCUUUUCAAUCCCUGAUACCCUCUAGAACAUGUCUUAGCCUCUUUCUUCUGAGAGCAUUCUCCCUGCAUUUUAGUUUUCUUCCUAGCCUUCAAAGCUAAAAAAAAUCCUAGUAAUUUCUGCUUCAAAGCUUUCCAAGGAGAUUCCCACAAAUUUUCUAAAAGCUUUAAUUCGUUUUUCAACCCUUGGUGAUAAUUGCGUGGAAGCACCCACCACCUCUAUAAGUGGAACAUGUAGGUUGGCCAUGGUCAAAGGUCGCACAACUAGAGGUUCUUUGAUCUUUUCACAGUUUACAAGACCCCCCAUUAGAGUCCCACUGCUCACAAUUCGACCUUGAUACUACGGAAACAUUGUCCAGAGCACCAUCACAUUCAUCUACCCAACUAACAAUAUUCCCUUCUUCCUUGAAAGUGUUGUUACCCUGUCCCUUAGCUCCCUCAAGAUUAGAAAAAUCUGACAUGCUCCCAAGUGAGUGGUAGUGAUUGAGGGAUAGCUAUUUGCCUCCCACCACGAAGCUCCAAAACCCAUUUUUUGGAAUUACCCCAAGUGUGCUCCAGAUCCUUAAUGAAAUUCUUAAUUGAGGAGCGAGGCUCAACAUGACCAUCUUUAGAGGUAUCUAGCAUCGGAGCCAUAGGUAAAUCGGUCGACACAAAUCCCAUCUCUAAAGAAUCGGGCUGGGAACUCAUGUGAUCCGAGACCAUAGCACUGGUCAGUGCAUAAGUACUUGACUAAGAAGGGAGAGUGAUGUCAUUGUUGGUCAAUGGUGGAAGGAAGAUUGGUGCCCAACUCAGACCCAAUCUCCAAAGAAUUGAACCGUGGCCUUAUGAGAUCUGAGGUUGUAGAAUCGGUCACCGGAUAAGAGCUCAAAUGAAAUGGAGGAUUGCUCUCGUCAUUGGUGGUCAAUUGUGGAGGAGUGGGGAUGGUCAUUGUUGGUGGGGAGAUAUCGAUUUCGGUCAUUGGUGGAGAAGUGGUGCCAUUAAUGAUGGUGGAUGUUGGAGGUGUAGCGGUGCCAUUACUGGUUGUGGUCCUCGGUGGAUGAGAAGUGCCACGCUGUUGAGAGAUGGGUGGGCUUUGGGCUUAGGUUUGGGGGUCCAGUUUUGGUCAUUCCCAUUUUGGCCCUUGAAGAAAUAAGGUUUUGCAAUAUUGUCAUCAACUUUUACUUAUCAAAAAAUGAAAAGAAAUAAGGUUUUGUGUUGGGCCUCAUCCCAUUGUUAUUUUGAUUGGAGCCCACAUCUUUAAUAUUAGAAGAAACAACAGCCCACUGCCCCUCAUUGCCAUGCUCCACACGUAAAAGAUGUCUAGAGUCAGCAACUCUCUUUUGGCAAUGACAUUAAUAUUAGACAAGAUAUUGGCCCCAAACUGUGCCACAUCCUUCCCAGAAUAAUUCUUGCCUUGAUCACAGUGGGAAUUGAAGAUUUCAAAUUUUGAAAGACCGUAACUUUCUCCUUUCCAUUAUUUAUUGCACGACCAUGAUUUUGAUGUUCGUCAGCCACCACCACUUCAGCCUUUGGUGCACUCUGUAUUCUAUGUAAUGGUUCCUGACUGGUAAGAGAAGCUGGUUUUAAGGUUUUCCUCAGAUUGAGGCCUAAGCCUUGCCAGCCACUACCCAUCCUUCCCUCAGGUACCACUAUGUUGCCCUACUGUCAAAGAUGAAGAAGUUCAGAAACCAUUAAAAACGUGCCAUGGGCCAAGGUUCAAUAAUUCUAUACCAAUGGAAAUUUGGUUUUUGGGACUUGGGCUUCCAAAUUAUUUAGCCUUUCAUGGGAGUAUGUACAUUUUGAGUACACUAUGUCUGCUGGCUUGAUUACGUGUUACCAUUUAGUUUGUGAUAAUUUGAGUUGUGAUUCAAUUUUUCUUCUACUAUUGUUUUUGAUUUUAAAUUCAUUAGAUUUAUUAUAUGUCAGGUAUGGUGGAACCAUCACAAAUCAGAUUAGGAGACUUGGUGCUUCCUGUGAUUGGACUAGAGAACACUUCACCCUUGAUGAACAGCUAAGUCGUAAGGCAGUUUGCUAUUGAGUAGAACUCUAGCCAAUAUAGAAAGUGUCUAAGAGAGUUUAUGAUGAUGUUAUUGAUAUGUUGUUAUGGAAGAUAUUUUAUAUGUGAAUUAUUAAGUGAUAUUGCAUGGUGUUUGAUUUUUUCUCGGUGAUGCAUAAUUUUUCGUAUUUGUCUAGUGUACAUUAGAUGCCUCUGAAUGUGUCUUUCAUUAAUGAUUGCAUUUAUUGCUCAGAGAUGCAAACUAGCCUAAAUAUUCUUUGCAGUGUAAUAUGUACUGAGACGCAGACGUUUUACCUUUUGUAGGAGCUGUAAUUGAGGCCUUUGUCAGGCUUCACGAGAAAGGCUUAAUCUAUCAAGGUAUUACACUUGUAGCCCUAGAUUUCCAUGAACUUUCCUUGGGGGUGUGGGGUGUUUUUAGUAAGCUAACGGCAUUGUGAAAUCUGAAAAAAAUUAAUGGUUUUGGAUAUUAGUCAUCAUAAAUCAUGCUGUAUAUUUAGUUAGCUAGUACCAUGAUAAUUUUGACUUUUUUUGUAUAAGAGAGAAAUUGGUCCAAAAUGUUGUGCAGGAAUGCCAACUAGGGCCCUGAACCUUUGUUUCAGUAGAAUCACUAAUACCCUCUCCAUAUUUGAGCGUCCAUGAUUUUUUUUUUCUUCGAUUACCUCCUCUAUGCUCCUUGAAUGAAGUAGUCAACUCACUCCAUCCAUUUGCCAUUACAAUUAAUAUGCCACAUUGUCACAAGUUAUAAAGUUUCCUUUUUGCACUGUUAUAUUAAAUAAUGUAAUAAAAGAAUAGAAUGCAGGGAAAAAAGAAAAGGAAAACUAAGGGUUUGUUUGGUUAGGGGGAUAGAAAACGGCGGGGAUGGAAAAUUGGGAGGAUAGAAAAUGGUAGGAUGGAAAAGUGGGGUGAUGGAAAAGUGGGGUGAUAGAAAAUAUGUCAGUUUUCUUUCAUAUGUGUUUGGCUGGGGGUGGAAAAGUGGAGUGGAAAACUCUUUUGUUUGGUUGAAAAGAAAAAUGAAGAUAUAAAAUGGUGUUUGUAUGUUAGGAACCUAGUGGUUCCUAAUGGGAAUGGAUGAGAAUUGUAGGGAAAUUAACUUAAUUCAAUGUAAUCACCCUCCAUAGAGAUAUAUUAAGAGAGAGACGAAAUGCACUAAGCAAUCAAUUGGAUUAUUCUUCAAUGAAUGGAAAUGUGAUUACAAGUAGGUAUUUAUAGAAACAUAAAACUAUUCUGUUGGCUCACAUUACCUUAUCCUAAUGGUUCUAUUAUUCUCCAUGUGCAUUAAUAAUUCCAACAUGUGUUAAACAUGCUUGGAAUUGUAACUAACCAACUAACUAACUAACAAAAUGCCUAACUAACUAAAUGCAACAUUACACCAAUUAUUAUCUAUAUAUUUAUAGGGUUCCUAACAUUUCCCUCUCCCUUAAAACACUUUGUGGCCACCAGGUGUUGUUCUGGUUGGCAUCUUUAUCAAAGAAGAUCUUCCAAUGGACCAAUACUUUAGUGACAUUUUGAUCACCAUAAUCAUGCACUUCUCUUUGACAAGCGGUCCCAUGCACAUGAAGGUUACUUCUUCGUAGAUCUUCAAACUUCGCUUAAAUUCUUGAGUCUUUAAUGGUUCUUCAAUCUUUAAGGUCUCAUUGGUUCUUUAGACCUUGGAAUGUUCUUGAAUCCUCAAGACCUCAUUUGAUUCUAGAACCAUUAAAAUUGGGGGCGCUCGCAUCUUUGAUUCUUGGAUCACCAACACUUGGAUUGCUGAUUCUUGAAUCAUGGACUUUUGAGUGGGAGUCUCCAUUGGUGCAUCAAGAAUUGGUUUUUGGUCCACCGACAUGAAAUUUACUGGCUCUUGCAUCUUAGAUUCUUGGGUGGUAGUCUCCAUUGAUGCAUCUAGUAUUGGUGAUCGAAAUUGAUCUUGUAGGGCGCAUAUGAAAUGCGCCCAAUUUGUGCAUAAACCCAAUGCCUCCACAUCUUGGAACCAUUCUCGUGCUUCUUCUUCCAUGUAAUAAGAGGCAAUAGAAACCAUGCGAUGUGGUGAUGUGUUUUCUAGAGCAAAGAAUUCAUAGAGCUUGACAAGCCAUCGAAAAGUUUCUCCCAUUGAAAAGGUUUUCCACCUUUGAAAUACAACUCCAUGAAAGCUUGAUGAGUUGCAAUGGAUUUGGUCAUCUCAAGAUUGACGGCUUUGAUACCACUUGUUAGGAACUUAGUGGUUCAUAAUGGGGAUGGAUGGGAAUUAUAGGGGAAUGUAUGAGAAUUGGAAGGAAAUUGACUAAAUUCGAGGUAGUCACGCUCUAUAGAGAAAUAUUAAGAGAGAGAGGAUAUGCACUAAAAAUCAAUUGGUUUAUUCUUCAAUGAAUGGAAAUGUGAUUACAAGUAGGUAUUUAUAGAACCAUGAGACUAUUCUAUUGGUCCACAUGGCCUUAUCCUAAUGGUUCUAAGCGCUCUAUGGGGAGUAAUUCAAGAUGGGAGAAGUAACUCCCUUACUUUUUUUGGUCUUUAAGGGUUUUGAUUUUAUUUUUGGAACUAUCACUUAUCUCACAAUUGUAGGAUGAUAACCAAUUGUUGAUACUGAUACACAAAUUGUUAUUAGAAGUCAAGUGGACUCAUGUUAUGUUUAUAUUAUUCAGGGUCUUAUAUGGUAAACUGGUCUCCAAGUUUGCAGACUGCAGUUUCAGAUUUGGUAAGUUUUUGGUUUCAUGUUGUUUACUUAUUUUAUUUAUAUCUCACUGUUCAAAAUGAGCAUUGAACCUUUUCCUUUUGUGCAUAGGAAGUAGAAUAUUCUGAAGAAUCUGGUACUCUUUAUUAUAUCAAGUAUCGUGUUGCUGGAGGUUCAAGGUAGUUACCAGACAAUCUUUUCUAAUCUUUUGUUGAAGAUGUGUUCCAAUUAUAUAUGAAGCAUGUACUUGCUGUUAAGUAAGCAAUUUUUCAUUCAUGCAUACUGUAGUUUUUUUAAUAUAAUUUUUCUUACCUAUCAAAUAUAUAUAUAUAUAUAUCAAUUAUUUUUGGAGAGGUUCAACUAUCAAUUAUUUGGGUUAAAUUUACUGGCAUGAGAACUUUGUGUAUGUAAAAGUCAUGAUAAGUAGGAUUGCUUAUGUAUGAAAAGAUUACACCUGCUUGAAUUGUAAACACCAACAUUUUGAAAACCUUUGAACUAGGAAAUAGUGUUGGAAAGUUGAUGACAUGUAGGAAAUGGUCUUCUUUUUGUGGACUCAUGAAUCUGCAGUUUAUUAGGUUGAUGGCUGAUUGGUGUAUUUCUUUUGUACAUUUCAUGUACUAAGUGAUAAAGAAUCUCAAUAUUUUAUAAUUAUAUUCUCAAUAAUAAUCUCUCUUCUCACAACCCCCUCCCUCUUACCCCACACCCCCCCAAAAAGAAAAGAAAAAGGAAAAUGAAAAUAGGAAAUAAAAGAAAAUUCUUGAUGGUGAUAAUCUUGAGAUUUCGAAACUUGUUUAUGUUUCCUUUGUCUUUUUGAUAAUUCAAUCAAUCCUUUAGAAUAGAUUAUUAUUAGAAGAUAUAAUUAAUGUCAUUUAUAUUUAGCACUUGAAUCCUUUGGACAUCUUUCAAUAUGGUCAGAUAAACAUUACCUUGUAUGGAUUAUUGUGCAAUAUUACUUCAUGUAUGCUAUAUUUGUUAUACAUCCUAAACAGUUCUUUGUCUCUGAUGUAUACUUCUUGUAUACUUAGGUGACAUUUUUUUUCUCAUAUUAAAUAUAUCUUUCAUUACUUAUCAAAAACAAAAAAAAAAAAAAAAAUAUUGUUAUACAUCCUAAACAAGCUGUGUUUUAUAUGUUUGCACAGACUGUUUAGUAGAAGCUAUGCUGUGUAUUCAUAUGUUAACUUUUAUUUGUCUUUUAGGAGUGACUAUUUGACAAUAGCAACAACACGUCCUGAAACUUUAUUUGGUGAUGUAGCUAUUGCAGUGCAUCCAAAGGUAGGGUAAUUUGCUAACUGUGCAAGCUCGCACUUUUAGUUUAAAGGAAUGAGCCCAGUGCUUGGAAUUUAUGCUUUGUUUAUAUUAUUGCCAUCAUGGUUUUAAAUUGUCUACAUUAAGGUGAAGAAAGUAAGAUGCCAUUAGUCAUGUUCAUACUUAUUCUGAAUGUUAUGACAACAAGGUUUAAUUCAAAUGGCACUUUCUCUACUUGGUGAAUGGUGAUGUCAUGAGUUCAAAACCCAUUGGAUGUAUGUGUUAAUUACAUUGAUAGUUCAUUUAGAAGGAAGUAGUUGAAAAGGACUGGGAUUUCAUUUUUUUGUUUAAAAUAAAGUGACAAUUCUUCUAUUUAUGAAAUUUACGGUUGAAUUUAACCUUUAUUAAUCUGUGGAUUUGAAAUGAUUUUGUGUAGAUGUUAUUUUAAAUCUAACAUCAUAAGUGCUUUUGUUAGAGAAAAAUCCUCAAAACUCAAAGCCAUCACAUAUAUUCAUUUAAAGCAAUUUAUGCUAUCAAUUGUGCUUCAAACUUUGAUUUUAAAUCCUCAAAUCCAAAUGUAACAACCUAAAAGAUUUUUUCAAUUGUUCAGUAUGUUGAAUUCAGGUUAUCUAGAAAGAUGGGAAUAAUUUACAGUGCAUUAGAAACAUAUAAAUUUUUGGAAUUAGCAAUGAAAUUACCAGAAAAAGUAUGACUCUUAUGGUCUUAUUUCAAUGGAAUGUUGCAAAUAUGGUCUUAAAAAUGACAGUGAAAUCACCAUUGAUUUUUUUUUUUAUGUCAACCACCUUUUUUAAUGUAAUUUUUUUUUUCACUUGAAAUAAUAUUUUUCAUGCUUUUUCAUCUUUUUUAUAUGAACAAAAAGUUAUAUUUGAAUGUGUAUAAUGUGUAUACUUAAAUUUCUUUGAAUAUGACAUAAUAGCAAUAAUUCUGAAAUAAAAUGCUAGACCCAUUCUUUAGGAGUGUGUUCCACUGCAGUGGGAAAACGAAAAUGUCUUUACAAAUGACAUCAGCAACUAUGUUUGGAAAAUUGACAUUGACUCUAAGUCAUGCACUCCCUAUAUUUCCUGCCCCCCCUUCUUUUUCUGGUACUUUUUCCAUCCUAUAGAUAGUUUCACAAGACUUUUAUAUUUGUUUACUUUUGCAGGAUGAUCGGUAUUCUAAGUAUGUAGGUAUGAUGGCAAUUGUGCCUAUGACAUAUGGCCGUCACAUCCCUAUCAUCUCUGACAGGGUAAAAAGCAUCUUGAUGAUAUUUAUUUAAGUAUUCCAUUUUUAGCUUGUUUUAUUGGUGGUAUGAUGUUAAGUGCUCCUGGUGCUUAAAAUUUCAUUUGGUCUAUGCACUGUACUGCAAUAGUAGUUUUGAGGACAAAUUUUGAAGCAGAACAAUGGAAUUGAUAAAUAAUUAGAUGCUUCAUGGCAUGGUGCUUGGGCCUUUGUUCUUUUUGACAAUAAAUUUCAGCUUUUGUGGGAGUUUAUUUGUCUACAAACUGUCCCUGACCUAGGUUUAGUCUGCUUUUAAGCCUUUUCACCUUCUUAUUGUUGUUAAUACAUUUGUCCACAAUAGUUUGGUAGUGCUUUUCAUUAAUUUGGUGUACAGUUGAUGACUGUUUGCUGAUGUUCACACGUCUUAAAUUCUUAUCAAGUAAGGCGUGCUCUAUGCUCAUCCUUUCAUGGAGCAAGCUUGAUUGACACUGGGCUGACUGGCCUAGGUGUUUGAAAAUAUUAUUUUCCUCAAAAAAAUUGUGACAUGUUUAUCACAUUGGAUUUUGAACCUGUCCAUGAUUGGCUAGUUAUUAAAAUUUUAAUUCAUAAAAAUAGCUUUUUUACUUGUUAUCCAAUUUGUAAUGCAUAAAAUAGCUCAACACCUUGACUAUUGAUGCCUACCUGGUCUCACAAGUCAUUAUUGCCUUUUGGGCCAUUAGCCUUGUAGCUCAACUGGCACCUCCUAGUGUUUCCAAUGGGGACGUCUAAGGUUCAAAUCCCUUCACCCCUAAUUAUUGCAUUAUCAAAAACAAGUCAUAAUUGCCUUUUGGGAUCUUUUUUGGUUCCUAGAAAAUGAAUAUGUUGUAAGUUUAUCAAAUUUUACAAAACAAAUAUAUUUUUCUGAACUUUUUUUAUAAUUGGCUCCUGAUUAAUUGAUGAGGAUCAGUGGCCAACUCCAAUUUAGUUAGGAUCAGAUUAGUUGAGUUGAUGUAUUUUCUUAAUUUUCUGAUUUGUCAUUUUAAAGCUUAUUUCAUAUAAUUCCUGGAUUGUAAUCCAUCUUCUGGAUUUAUUUCUAAAUCUGACAGCAUGUUGACAAAGAUUUUGGAACUGGUGUGUUGAAGAUAAGCCCUGGACAUGAUCAUAAUGAUUAUCUUCUUGCUAGAAAGCUUGGUCUCCCAAUACUUAACAUAAUGAACAAGGAUGGGACACUUAACAAGGUUGCGGGCUUGUACUGGUAAACUUUGCUUUUAUUUUGUUAUUGAACAGUAUUUUGGAGAAACCUUUCUAUAUUGCACCUAAUAUAUGGCAUUGACACCUAUGAUAAUAGUGGCCUUGAUCGGUUUGAGGCCCGGAAGAAACUAUGGGCAGAACUGGAGGAGACAGGCUUAGCUGUAAAACAGGAAGCGCACACCCUGCGAGUUCCCAGAUCUCAACGUGGUGGAGAAGUGAGAUAAUACUGUAUUUCACUUUUUUGUUUUUGAAAAUUUGAUACAGGUAACAGUUAACUAUUUCUUUGGGGAUUUGCUCUCUCUCUCUCUCUCUCUCUCCCCCCUCCCCCCCUUCUUUUCUCCUAGAUUAUAGAGCCACUUGUAAGCAAGCAGUGGUUUGUUACAAUGGAGCCCCUGGCUGAGAAAGCCCUUCGUGCAGUUGAAAGAGGAGAGUUAACCAUCAUUCCUGAAAGGUUUGAGAAGGUAUAUGGUUUUGUGUGUGUGUGUGUGUGGCUUCAUAUUGAUUUGAUUCACUUGCAAUAGAAACUUCUUUUAUUAAUCUUGAUUUUCUUCUUGGUGUCUUUUAGCUUUUUCCUUGCUGUAACUUCCAAUUUGUGGAGCUUUCAACUCAUUAUAUGAAAAUAUCUAUAUAUUUCUAUUAUUAUUUAGCAUAAGUAUUUUAAUGAGUAAUGCUACAUAGUACAUACACAGCAAUUUUCACAAUAGAGGAGUUGAGAGGUUUUUAUUGGUUCUCAUUUUACUAUCGCUUUAUCAUCUACCAUUCACAACUUGUCACCUCGACAGUUAUGAAUUUUAUGAAAAUUGGUGUGACUCAAGACUUAUGGUUCUUAUGGUUAUAAUAUCAUUAAUUAUCCUCAGCCUGAUUUACUUUGUAUUGCAGAUUUACAAUCACUGGUUAUCAAACAUUAAGGACUGGUGUAUAAGCAGACAACUCUGGUGGGGACACCGCAUACCAGUUUGGUACAUUGUGGGAAAAGACUGUGAAGAAGAAUAUAUAGUUGCUAGGAGUGCUGAUGAAGCUCUUGAGAAAGCUCGUGCGAAGUAUGGAAACAAUGUAGAAAUCUAUCAAGAUCCAGAUGUUCUUGACACUUGGUUUUCCAGGUCUAUUUCUGAAAGAUUAAUAAGAAUUCAUGUCUUUUUCUUGUGCACACAUUAUACACUUUAGAGUACAAAUGAUACCACUUAACUAAAUAAUCCAUAAAUUUUUUUCUCAAUGUGUGAUUAAAUGUGCACUUUUCCGAUUUGUUGGAAGUUGGUUAAAGUAUAGUUAUAACUAGAAAAGAUGAGAUCUUAAAGAGCUGUAUGUAAACAAAACAAAUAAGCUAAAAAGCUAAAAGAAAAAGUUUCUGGCAAACAAGCUCUCAAUUUAAUUGUGUUUACAUGAAUUUGGCAUACUUCACAAGUGGCUUAUGAUUUGGAAAUUGGAAGAAGUUGUUACUCAAACUGUUCUGCAGUAAGAGACCAUAAUUUUUAUGGUUUGAGCUAUUAUGUGUUUGUCUUUUAUUUUAUCUUAUUUUUUUUGAGUUUUGAUUCAUCUUUUUCCUUUCUUGGCCUUGGAUAAUUUGACCGGGGGAAAUGGUGAAUAUUAGACAAAAUAAUAGUUGCAAUAAGUUAUGUUCCAUUGUGUCCUCUAGUUUACCUAAGUAUAUUUUUUGUCUCUUUUUCCCUUGUCUAUAGGGUUUGAGUUUUGUUUAUUUAGUAAAUUGGCAUAGAGUACCCACCCCUAUCUAAAUGGGUGGGUUGGGGAUUAAGAAGUUGGUGGUGUUUAAUCAGGCAUCAUUGGGAAGGUGGUUAUGACGUUAUGGGUUGGAAAAGGAGUCCUUAUUAAAAAUAAGGGUAAAUUGCAAAGUGCACCUCUAAAGUUUGGGGUUGCUUGGAUUUUACCUCUUGAAGUUGGAAAAAUUGGAUUUUACACUUUGAAGUUUCCCUACGUUAGCAAAAGCAGCCCCUCCAUUAGUGACAUGCUUACAUGGCCGUUAAGUGACAUGCUAGUGUUUGACGUGUAAUUUUUUGCCAAGUCAGGCCACCACAUGUUAAUUGGCCCAAUUGAAUCGUGACACAUGUAUUUACCCAUUACUUGUAAUAAAAUAAUUUUAAAAAAAAAUUCUUUAAAAAGGCUUAAAAUAAAUAUCUAAAAUCUAAAAAAUCAUUAAAAAAUUAAAAUAAAUCUUUAAAAUCAAGAAAAUUAAAUCAUAUUAAUUCAUUGGGACAAACUACAAAGCACUAAAAAAUAAUAAUUACAUAAAUCUGACUAUGUAUCAGAUGAAUCAAGCACCAAAUCAUCAAACUUAUACAAAAAUCCCACAGAACCUUCCCCAAUUCUAAAACAUCCAAUCCCUCUCUCUCUCUCAAACUUAAACCUCCAUGGCAGAGAGCUUAGAGCUCUGCCUUUCACUGCUGCUCACAACGAACUGCCAUUGACAUUGUGGUGGUGGCUUUGAACUCAAACCCACUUUUUCUGUCCGUUGGAUUGUUGUGCUCUAAUGGGUCAUGGUGGUUGAUGGGUAUUUGGUUUUUGUGUUCUGCUGGGUCACAAUGGUCAGUGGGUAUGGGUUUUUUUGUGGUUUGAUGGGUUACGAUGGCGAGGGAGAGGAUGGGUUUGCUGGGAUUUUGUUGGUUUGGUUUGGUGGUUGGCUUGGGUUAUCCCGCGAAUGGUUUUGCUGUUUGGUGAGUGGGAGGUGCUCUUGUUAGGUGAGUGCUCUGGCAGUUGGGUUUGUUUCAAUGGAUUUGCUUUGAUGGGCUGGUGGAUUCAAAGGGUUUUUGGGUUUGAUGGCGUGCUGUGUUUCAUGGUUUGGUUGAGUUCGGUUCAAACUGAAUUGCUUUGAUUGUUCAAUUUGCCUGGGUUUGAUUAUUUUUGGGUUCGAAGUUUAUGGUUUUGAUUUUUUGGUUUCGAAUUUGCUGGGGAAAUCAGUUUGUUGCCGAUUGAACUUAAUGUGUUGAUUUUUUUGGGUUUGUUCAUCUUGUUCAAGGUGUUGGAUUUUUCUGGGUUUGUUCAACUGUUUUUGUUUUUAUUUAUUUAUUUUUAGUUUAUGCAAUUUUAAAUUUUUAGAGAAUGUAUUUAGAUAGUUUUUUUAAAUGAUUUUUUCGAUUUUAGAUAUUUAUUUUAAGCUUUUUAAAGAUUUUAAAGUUAUUUUAUUACAAGUAAUGGGUAAAUACAUGUGUCACAAUUCAAUUGGGACAACUAACGCGUGGCGGAUUGACUUGGCAAAAAAUAUUACAAGCCAGACACCAGUGUGUCACUUAACGGCCAUGUUGGUGAAUCACUAAUGGAGGGACUGCUUUUGCUAAUGGAGGGAAAAUUCAGGGAGUAAAAUCUAAAUUUUCAAAUUUCAGGGUGUAAAAUCCAAUCAACCCCACACUUUAGGGGCGUACCUUGCAAUUUACCAAACAACAAAUAUGGGAAUUCUUUGGGAGGUUGAUGCUCGAAUGUUAGUAGGGCUUGUAUGGGGUGAGUACUUGGAAGCACUACAAGAAUUUUAUACAUUAUGAAGUUGGGGAUGGCCUUAAGAGUAAGAUUUUGGCAUGAUCGAUUGAGUGAUGACUUCAGUUUCUGGUCGAGAAUUUCUGGAGCUAUCUGUGAUGUGCCAAGAUUGGGAGCUUGAAUCUAUGUCAUUAUUUUUAAAUGAGUUGUAUUUGGCUCACAUCUUCCAGGGGUCUGACGAUAAAGUGUUAUGGUCUCUAUCCAAGAGUUGUGGUUUUUGUAUGAAGGAUUUUUAUAUGGCUUUCAGGGAGAGGGGAGACUGAUGAUUUCCUUUGUGCAGUAUUUGAAGCAUUAAAGUUCUUCCUCAAGUAGCUUUUUUUGGAUGGACAGCAACUUUAAACUGUGGGUCACCUUUUCUUACAUUGUGACAUUGCGGGUCAUUUGUGGUCUUUUAUUCUUUGUCUGUUCAGUGUGACAUGGGUUAUGCCUAGUUCGGUGUAGGAUCUAUUGGCCUGUUGGAUUGGGAAGUUUGGUAAACAUGACUGGGAAAAGGUUUGGAAGUCAUUAACAUUAUGUUUGAUGUGGAUCAUUUGGUGGGAAAGGAAUGCACAUGUAUUUGAUGAUGGGCACUCUUGACACGAAAAAUGAAGCUCCGUUAGGCCAAAGAUUUUACUUCAGCACCUAACCUUGCAGAGUUUUUAGAUCAGCUGAAUUUUCAUUCUUGACAUUCUUUUAUUUUUAUUUCUUUCCCUGUAUACUAUCAAUCUGCCAUGCUUGUAUUUUUUUUUCUCAUAUUUAUUUUUCAAUAAUUUCAUCACUUAUUUAAAAAGAUUCUAUUAUGUCCUUCCUGUUUAUGGAAACCUUGAUUUUAUUUGUCUCAAACGCUAGUUUCUGCUGCCUCACACUCACUUGUUAUCAAAUUUAUGAUGCAAGGAAAAUUAUUGCAUGGUCUGUCUUCUUUGAAGAACUCUAAAUGUUAUUAUGAAAACCAAGCUUAUGUAUUAAUUUUUUUUAACAAUAAGAAAAGAGAGUGAAAUUUGACCAAUUUUUUUAGAUUAAAAAUUGUUAAAGAAAGCAUGGAUUUGGUUUAUAUAUUAUGUCUCAGAUUACUGAUUUCAUCUUCCAACCAAACUUUUGGAUAAAAAGUAUUGCUGAAAAUUAAUUUUUGAUCAAUUUUUUAUUUUAUUUUAUUUUUAUUUAUUUAUAAAAGAUUAUAAAACAAAUGAACAUUGGAUCUUUAUUUAUUCAUGUACUUAUUUACUUUUCAUGUCUUAAAAUAGGACUUCCAUGACUUCAGCAAAAUUUUAAUUUUGAUCUGCUAGGUAAUAUUGAUUAUCAAUGUGCUUUCAAUGAUCAUGUAGCUGCAAAUUUCUAAUCAAUGAGUUAAUUAUGAUAUGCCAUUGAUAGUUUGUCCAAAUAACCAGAUGGUUAAUAUGUCUUGCCAUUGAGUUCUAGCUCAAAUGACAUCUCCUCCUCUUGUAAGAGCAUGGUGGAGGGUAAGAUGGUGGGUUCGAUCCCCAUUAAGUGCAUGUGUAAUUGCUGCCAAAUAAAUGUCUUAUUCAAAUUUUAUAUGGCUUAAAAGUGAUAUUUUUUACAAAAUAUUCAAAUUAUAAGUUUCAUUCAGUGGUUUAACAGGAUUCUGCAUUAAAAGUUUGCAUUUAUAGGUCAUUUUAUGUUUUUUUUUUGAAUGAUUGUAUUAAUUGUUAUUUUAAGAAAUAAACCAGAUUCAGUAGCUGCUUAGAUGAUUUGAUAUUUGAUUGUAUUACUUGAUUUCUUAGUUCAUGAAUUUAGAAUUUUGAAAAUGAAGCAUCCUUUUUAUUUGUCUUAUAGUUUUAUCAAAUCUCAGCUCUUGAUGUUCUACUUUGUGGUUCCACACAUGAACACUUUGUCCCUGGUUGUUCACAUAUUAUCUCUUUUGUUAUCUGUAAAUGAUACGUACUUACAUUCAUACACACAUAUACAUACAUACAUACAUACAUACGUAGACAUUCUUUUGAAUAAGCUUUUUCUUACUCCAAUGUUCAGUGCACUAUGGCCUUUUAGUACUCUUGGAUGGCCAGAUGUUUCAGAAGAGGAUUUUAGACGGUUUUAUCCAACAACAAUGCUUGAAACUGGGUAAUGUGUUUCCCUAGCUAGCUUCUCCUGCCCUAUUGAUCUCUCUCUCUCUCUCUCUCUCUAUAUAUAUAUAUAUAUAUUAUCGGAUGCAGUAAUGCCAGAUGUGAAACCUGGGGCUGCUUUCUGAGGAAUAUUUAGCGAUGGUAACUUAAUCUGAUUAGUAGGUGCCUGUCAUCUGCUAGGUGCCAUUUAUGCUGCUAAUGAACUACAAAUUUCUUUUUGUUGCCGAUGAACUACAAAUUGCUAACUUUAUUUUGUGUUUUUGAGUCCAUGAAUAAAGUUUUACUAUCUUUUUUGAAAGAUUGCAGAAGUUGAUACUGCUUUCAUAUAUGGACAGGCAUGACAUACUGUUUUUUUGGGUGGCAAGGAUGGUCAUGAUGGGAAUUGAGUUCACGGGGACCAUUCCAUUUUCACAUGUUUAUCUACAUGGACUCAUCCGAGACUCACAAGUGAGUUUAGUGCAUAGGUGAACCUUUUGCUUUGACAUUGGUAUUGUAUUUACUAAUUGCAGUGCUCAAUGUGUUGUCUUUCUAGACCUCUCUCAAAGUUCAGCAUACUAUUUCUUUAUUUGUUUUAGGUAUUUGUCUCUAUAAAUUUCACUUUUUAAGCAGUGAAGUCCUAUGUGACUUGAGCAAUGAAGUCUUGUCCAAUUUGAUAAUGGUGUCAUGGAAUUUGAUGUUGUGAUAGAUGUUGAGACAAACCAAGCCAUCAAUAUAGGCAUUGUAAGUCUAUUGGACAAAACGACUACAUUGCUCUAAAUUAAACUUCCAAAUAUAGAACUGAAAUUUUUAAAUCUAGGGAGCAAAGUUGAGCCAACUUUUCUUAUCAAAAAAAGAAAAAGAAAAAAAAGGUUGAGCCAACUUUAUUUUGGAGGGGUCUGUCUGAUUUGCUGUAGGAAGUAGAGAUUUAGCCGUAGAACUUUUGUGAUAUAAGAGUUUUAGAUUACAAGUGGUCUAGUGAUGAAGUGUUUUUGGAUGUGGGAAAUGACUAAAUGAGACAUAAUAAAAGUUCUUUGUAUUUUCAACUUUGAACCCAAUUAGUUUAAUUAAUUGCCAAUGUUUAUUUAGUUAAUAAUAAUGAUGAUAAUAAUAAUUAUUAUUAUUAUUUAGUUGUUAUUAUUAUUAUUUUUGUUGUUGUUGUUAUUAUGAUGAUGAUGAUGGAAUGGAUUGAGGUGAGGGCAAGCUAAAGAAAAUAGAUCCUUCCUUUUAUGAUUGCUUCUUUGUGUCACUUUAUUUCAUUAACAUGGUAUAAGAGCAGGAGAGUUGAAUUGACCAAAUACAUUUUUUUAAAUUUUAUUUAUUUAUAUAUUUUAUAUACCUCCCUUUUUUUUUUAAUUCAUUUUUUUUAUUUGCUGAUUUUUUUUUGAACUACUUUGCCGGGUUGUUUCUAGGUAAACUUUUGUUUUGUUUAAUGUUCUGCAUAAAGAUGUUAGAAAGGCUUGUCAUCUUCAUCACAAUUGUUGUCGUUGCAAUUUGGUAGUGAAAUGGCAGAAAAAUGUCAGUGGCUAUGGUGGUGGUUGUUUCUUGAUGUUACAAAUUUUUAUAGUUGAUUGGUGUCCUCUGUAUUGAUUUCUGGUAGAUUCGAGGAGGAUCUUAGUGGGUUCAGUCUAUUCCAGUCAAUUUUGGCUUUUCUGGUCGUCUGUACAGUGUCAGUGAUUCUUGGUGAGAAUGGGUUCAUAAGUUUUUCGAUUGUUGGUGACCAAUUUUUGCACUAGUAGGGUGGUUGUAGGAUGUUUGUGAGAUUCUUUGGCAUUAUUGUUUGUCGAAGUUGACCCUUGUUUGGUUCUUACUGUUGGUCAGUCCCUGUCCUGGAUAUGGAUAAACUGCGUCUUGUUUGGUUGUCUUGUGGUGUUUGGCAUUGGUUUGAGCAUGGGCUCAUUAUUUGAUCGCCUUUUAUCUGAAAAGUGAACAUCCUGUGCCUCUGUGAGUGAUACCACUGAUUUUGAUUGCUUCACUACUACUUCCUCAGUUGUCCCUGCAAGUCUGUGAGACCAAGAGGAUAGUUUGAUCAUUACUCUUAUGCUAUCCGGUUGAGAACCUAACAUUGGGAUUGCUCUAAUGCACCUUCAGUCUGCAGAGGCUAUCUGAUAUCUUUUGUAGCAGCACAUUUAUUCUUGAUCAGAAAAUGUUGCUUGUAUGGUAUGCAUAAGCAAUAUUUCGAUCUUGAGCAAGGUAGCCAAAGUUUGGCAGAAUAUUACUCUCAAGUCACGUGUGUACUCAAGGAGAGAAAUAUGUAUUAACCAGUUACGACUGUUACUACGCAUAUUCAAAGGGAGGCAAACACUUUGGAAACUAGGAACCUUAAAAGUGCACGCAUUGCAGCAGCAACAAUCAUACAGUGGACUAUUAUUGAGAUAUAAUGGCAAACCCUCUGAGUUGGACAAUUGGGCCUUCUCAUAGGAUGACUACACCAUAGCAUCAGGACAUCUGCCACCCAGUAAACAAGGAUGAACUCUACACCAAAGGAUGGGUAUGUUCAAUUUCCAGCCCAUCAUUAGCAAGUAGCUUCCUCCCUUCCUCCUAUAUAAGCACUCUAGCCCAAUUAACUAUAUCUUUUUUUUUUUGAUAAGUAAGAGAGAUGUAUAUUCAAGAAGCUACCUCAUGCAAACAACAUAAGGUAGAACAAAGAUUACAGAGAAGGAAACAAACAUGAAAAAACAACAUAACAAACAACAAAAAACAUAAAACUAAGAACAAAGAAGGGAGUUAAGGAACAUAGGGAGAGAAUCACUAGAGGUGAGUUCCCAGGCCCUAGACCAAUCAAAAAGGGAGCCCCUAAAAAAAGUGAGCAGCUGGUCAUCAGAUUUGUCCAAGUCCUCAAAAGUACGCCAGUUUCGCUCCCUCCAAAUACACCACAUUAGGCACGGAGGAACUAAAUUCCAAAUACUAGAAGAGUGCUUUCCCAACCAAUUCCACCAACCAAAAAGCGUAUCUGCAACUGAACUUGGCAAUACCCAAUUGAUCCCAAAAGAUCUGAAAACCAAGCUCCAUAGUUGAUAAGCUUUGUCGCAAUGGAGUAGCAAAUGAUUUACCGUCUCUCCACUACAACGACACAUAAUGCACCAGUCAACAAAAUCAAAGCCUCUACCCCGCAGAUUAUCCCCAGUAAGAAUCUUCUCCCAAGCUGCAUUCCAAACAAAGAAAGAGACACACGGAAGAACCUUAACCUUCCAAACACCUUUCCAAGGAAAGAUAAUAGAUGAGGGACAACGUAGCUUAUUAUAUGAUUGGUGUGUUCACUCAUUUCUUUGAUUAUCAUCCUGUCUCAUCACCUCAGAGUGUUACUUUAGCCAAUGGUUCAUUAGCCACUGUCUAGGGCUUUAGAAUCACUCAUCUAAGUUCCUGAUAUUGGGUUUUUCACAUUAUCGGUUUUCCUUUAAUUUGUUGGCAAUUAGUAAAUUCACCAAAUAACUUAAGUGUUGUGUUAGUUUUUAUCCUUCUAUUUGUAAUUUUCAGGAUCUUAAGACAAAGUGGAUGAUUGGUAUGGUAAGGGGCAUGAAACUGGAGGUCUCUAUUAGCUGGAUUUUGCACCUUUCUCUCCUCAACAAUCCCUUUAAUAUUCACUAUAUUUUUUCUAGUGGCGUUGUCAACUUGGUCAUCCAUCUAUAUCCACUUUGAAAUGUCAAGUUGAUGGAAAUCUAGAUCAAAUAAUUGAGAACUUGAACUAGAAUUGCCUUAGAAUUGAGAAUCAAAGCUGGAAUUACAGAGGAAAACUGGAGAAACAGAGAUACUGUCCAGGUCUGAAACAAAGUUAAAUCUACAUAUAAAAAAAACUGAUUUUUUUUUUUUUUUUUUGAUUCUCAACUUAAUACUUCAUUAAACCGAAAUGUGAGCCAUACAGUUUACAUCAUUUUGCACUUGGUUUACAAUCAUAGGUGGCAUGUCUUCCACCCAUAUAUCACACUCGUGUACAAACUUGGCAUGUCUUGCCAUAAUGUGAGCCGCAGAGUUGCAGCUUCUGCGUAUGUGAGACAUCUCCCACGCUUCAAAGCAAUUCAGUCCUAGUCUUGUGCCUUCAACAACUUUUUGGACUCUACUUUGCAUCAUGGCCUGUUCGCGGAAGGCGCUAAUCACCAACAGAGAGUCACUUUCAAUUAUUACCUGACCCAGGCUAAGGUCCCUUGCAAAUUGAACACCUUCUUCUCCAGCUUUAGCCUCCACUUCCAACGCUCUCAAGGGCAGCUCCAGUCUUUUGCUCAGUGCUCCCAUGAUCAGACCCUUUUCGUUUCUAACUACCACCCCAAUGCCACAACUCCCUGACUCCCUGAAGACUGCCCCAUCCGUGUUCACUUUGAACCAGCCUUGCUUCGGGGGAGACCAACGUUGUACAGCACUUGGGUGAACACUCCUCUGAAUUAUCCUUUCGCCUUUAAUCUCUUCAACAUAAGCAGCCGCAGCCUUGAUAAGCCCAACCAGCCCUUUGCUUUGUCCACCAUGGAUCACCGAAUUUCUGUUAUUCCACAAGCUCCACGCGGUCACUGCAAACAGCACCCAAUUGACAUUUGGGUGAGAUUCCAUUACCUCCCACACAACAGUCACAAACUCAGUCACAGGUUCCGGCAGAGCUGGGAGCUUGAUUUUUGUUUCGCUCCACACCUCCUUUGCAAAUUUGCAAUCCCACAGGAUAUGCCCCGAUGUCUCACCAGAGCCACACAGCGCACAACAGUCCUUACAGCCAACCCCCCUCACCUUUAGUCUAUUCCUUGCAGGCUCUCCACAUGAAGUGUUUAAUUUUAUUUGGGCACUCCAAAUUCCAAACCAUCCUCCAGAGAGCUUUCAUCCUCGCAUUAUCCGAAUUGUUACCAAUGUCCGAACUUGUCGGCUUCUCCUUAAGACAUCUCUGCGCUACCCCGUAAGCACUCUUCAUUGAAAAUUUUCCAUUUGAGGUCCAGGCCCAAAUAACUGAAUCCUCCGGCAGUCUAUAGCUGAUUGGUAUGCCCAACACUAGCUCUGCAUCAUGUGGAAGUAAAAUGCUUCUGACCUUAACAACAUCCCAGCACCUCCUAUCCGCAUCAAUGAGAUCCGAAACCAUCAUUUCAACAUCCUGAGCUCUCUGAGGCCUGAUUACUUUGAAGGAAACCAGUCUUGGGACCCACCUAUCUUCCCAAAUGUUAACUUUUUGGCCAUUGCCAAUACACCACUGAGAACCCUUUGUGAUUAUAUCUUUUGCUGCCAUGAUGCUUCGCCACGCGUAAGAUGGCUUCCUACCCACUUGAACAUUUAAGAAAGACUCCUUUGCAAAAUACUUGGCUUUGUACACUCUAUGAACCAGUGAAUUUGGGUUCUCAAGGAUUCUCCAGCCUUGUUUUGCUAGGAGUGCUAAAUUGAACGCCUUGAGGUCCCGAAAACCCACACCUCCCUUGGACUUUGGCUUGCAUAAUUUCUCCCAGGAGACCCAUGCCAGCUUCCUUUCCCUUCCUUUUUGACCCCACCAGAAAUUACUCAUCAUUGAAUUCAAGUCUUUGCACAGGGAGUCCGGAAGCUUGAACACGCUCAUCGUGUAUGUAGAAGUGGCUUGUGCCACAGCUUUUAUAAGAAUUUCUCUGCCUGCAUUGGAUAAGAGCUUGCCCUUCCACCACGCAAUUUUUCUUCCCACUUGAUCCUUAAUCCGGUUGAAGGCUUUCCUUUUUCCCUUUCCAACUAAUGGUGGAAGUCCCAAGUAUUUCUCAUGAUGUCUGACCACCUUAGCCCCAAACCUGUGCUUGACCUAGUCUUGCACCUCCCUACAAGUAUUCUUACUAAAAUAUAGGGCUGUUUUUUCUUUAUUUACUUUCUGACCCGAAUCUCGUUCGUAGUCCUCCAACACCUUCAAAACCCUCUCACACCGAUAUAGAAGCCCGACAAAAGAUAAUACUAUCAUCGGCAAACAGCAAGUGUGAGACACUCGGGGCACCUUUACUCACCGCUACACCUUUAAUGUGUCCCUCCUUUUCCUCCUUUUUCAACAAAGCCGAUAACCCUUCUGCACACAGUAAAAAUAAAUACGGGGAGAUUGGGUCCCCCUGCCGAAGACCCCUUGAAGGGAUAAUCCUUCCUUUUGGCUCCCCAUUUAUCAAGACUGAGUAGGAUACCGUAUUAACACACAUCAUCAUAAUAGAAAUCCACCUCUCAUGAAACCCCAUUUUCCUCAUUGUAGUUUCCAAAUAGGGCCAUUCGACACGAUCAUAUGUCUCGCUCAUAUCGAGCUUCACUGCCAUUAGAGCUACCUUACCCUUCCUUUUCUAGUCAAUAUAGUGCAUAGUCUCAAAGGCCACAAGCACAUUAUCAAUUAUUGAUCUGCCCGGCACGAAUGCACUUUGAGAUUCAUCAACUACCUCCUUUAAUACUUUUUUUAAUCUAUUUGCAAGCACUUUAGAGAUAAUUUUAUACACUACAUUGCAUAAGCUUAUCGGUCUGAACUCCGUAAUUUUCUGUGGUGAAGCUACCUUAGGGAUAAGGCAUAUAAAUGUUUCAUUGAGAGUACCAGGUGAAACACCAGAAUUUAAAACUUCUAAUACAUUGCUUACCACAUCAGGACCUACUAUAUCCCAAUAAUGUUGAUAAAAGAUGGGAGACAUACCGUCGGGGCCCGGAGCUUUUAUGGGGUGCAUCUGAUGUAAAGCUUUCCAAACCUCUUCUGCCUUGAACAUUGCCAACAACUCCUUGUUCAUAGCCGCAGUGACCCGGUUGGAGAUAGCACUUAGACUUGCAUCAAAAUUUGAGGGGUUAUCAGACUUGAAAAUCUUCGUAAAAUAGUCUAAGAUUGUGUUUUCAAUACCCUCCUGGUCCUCUAUCCACUCCCCUUGAAGGUUUUGCAAACCAUCAAUUUUAUUUCUCCUUCUCCUCUGGCUAGCUGUAGCAUGGAAAAAUUUCGUAUUUUGAUCCCCCCACUUCAGCCACAACGCCCUAGACCUCUGAUUCCACAUAAUCUCCUCUCGAAUUUGGAUCUCAUUGAUUUCCUUUUUCAACCCCUGAAUUUCCUCGGCUUUAUCCAGCAUGUCAUCCACGGCUUCAAGUUGUUGAAGUUGGUCUCUCUAAUGUCUUAGAGUAUUAUUAACAUUUCCGAACACCCUCCAAUUCCAUCUGCUCAAUUGCUCUUGACAAUUCUGUAAACGAUCCAUGAUCGUAGCCCUACUGUCUCUUCCCACCGGAUCCCACACAUCCUCAAUUAGCUCUCUACAACCUGCCUCCCUUGUCCACAUAGCCUCAAAGAAAAACCUCUUCCUUGCCGGUUUUCGAGGCUUCCUCCGGUGGAGGCAAAGAGAUAACAAACAAUGAUCAGAAAUAGACAUACUAACAUGAUGAACACUUGCAUUCGGGAACCUGUCCAGCCAGCUCUCACUUGCCACCAUCCUGUCCAAUCUAAGCUUAGUUCUCUGCUCCCCUGCCCUUCCAUCACACCAAGUGUACCUUUACCCAACAAAACCCAAAUCAACAAGACCGCAUCUACUUAGACAUUCCCUAAAUUCUUUCAUUUGUUGAGCUUCUCUCUCAGGACGACCAAGCUUUUCGUCGGGAUGGAAGAUUUCAUUGAAAUCCCCAAAAACCACCCAUGGUAAUGGACUCUGCACUUUCAACACUUCCAAAAGCUCCCACGAAAUAAAUCUUUUAGCUGCGUUGAGUUGACCAUAAAACCCAGUUGCACGCCACGGGGUUGGAGCAGAAUUAUCGUGGAUCUCGACGUCAAUGUGCGAGUUCGAACAGCUCUUGAAAUGCACCUCGGUGCCUUCUCUCCACAGCAACGCCAAACCCCCACUACGACCGUCGCUUGGAACUAUAAUACCCUGAGUAUACUCUAGCUUGCUCUGAAUACCUUUAAUCCGAUUCGUUCCGGCUUUCGUCUCCGAUAGGAAAACCAGCAGAGGAUCUUUUGUCCUCACCUCAUCGGCGAGUGUCUGAACUGCCAAGGACGAUCCUAAUCCUCGGCAGUUCCAGGCUAACAAGCUCAUUUGGCUCGGCGGUGCUGCACAGCAGCCACCGCCACACUGCCAACCUUAUUCUCCUUUCCAUUUGUUUCGUGUUCACCUACACUCUGUCCUUUCCUGCGUUUUUGACAUCCUGAGUUUGGAUCAAGUUCCUGAAGGGGUGUUGGGCCCUCCCUUUUGGGAUUACUUGGGCUUUCACACUCCUGAGAAACCCCUUUGUUGCCCUGGCCAGCCUUUUCCAAUGCCUACUCGCUGGGCCCAGAGUCUUCGAAGUCCAUCCUUUUUUGUCAUCAUAACACAUAGCUAAUGGGCCUGGAAUUGGAUUUUCCAAGGCUGGCCCAACUACCGUCAUUUUAACUUUGUUCUUUGGCGCCAAAUCCCCCUCAGAAAUUAGCUGGGACCUCUGACCCAAUGCAGUUUCCCACUGCAUCCCCUCCGCAAAAUCGGCCUUCGCAGCAGGCUUUUCCUCACUGAAUCUCCCCAAAACAGCUGCUUUCUCCUCUUUCUUUCCAACCAACUCUUUGACCUUACCCUCCUCAGCUAACACAUCUGACAAAGGCUUAACAGAGGUUACUGCCCCCACGUCACUUAUGGAUUGACUGGCCCCUUAAGUUGACUUAUCUGCCACGUGACCUUCCCUUCCCUCAAGACUUUCCUUCACCGUGUUUUGUUGCUUCGCCGGGGCUGUCGGACUAACCUCAGUUGCCCCAUUACAUUCUGUAGCUUCUCUUCUUGCUCCCUGCGCUACCCCUUCUCUCCCUCCCCUUCGCAUUGGCUCCCCCCUUAACCAAGCACCAUAUUGAAGUUGGCAUGCUCCGUCCUUAUCACCUAGUGCCUGCCCUUCACUGCACUCUCUUAGGGAAUGAUUGAGAAACCCACACCUGUAGCAAAAAUUGGGUAACCUUUUAUAUUUAAAAUUUACCCAUUUAGGCUCGCCUCCUUCAGCUGUGAUUCUUUUCCCUCGCACCAGUCGCUUAGUAACAUCAAUUCUCACUCUAACACGGAGACAUUUUCCCCACUGUACUCCAGAAUCUGGAACAUCCACAUCUAGCACCGACCCUAAACACGACCCAAUAGCCCACCCUGUCUCUCUCGUCCUGCUGUUCAGGGGUAGGUUGUAAAUCUGCACCUAGAAGGGGGCCCAUUUGACUUCAAUCUCCUUCGGUGUCAACUCCCCUUCGAACUCUUGAAUGAGAACUAGUUGCUUCUCAUAACUCCAAGGGCACAUGUCCAACACCUUCUUUUUGUCUUUCUCAUCUCCGAACUCCACCAAGAACAGUUCCUCCUCAAGUUCAGCAAUUUGAACCCCUUUAUUUGGUUUCCACAAUAUUCUUAACUUCUUUCUUAAAGCAUCCACAUUAAUGCUUCUUUGGGACAGAAUCUUCAUCACCACACAAUACUUCCCCAUCUUUCUUGCAGCACUUGUGCUUCUGCUAUCUAGCUCUAUGCCUGUGUCUUCUUCCUCUGUAAACGUUAGUUUCUUCCACAGCUCCUCUAAUUCAUCAGCCAUAGAUGGCAAACUUGUUAUCUGUCUACCUAUGUAGUACUCCUUGGAAAACUCCCUCCGCGCCACCUAGAAAGGACCCAAAGACGACUAAAACUUACCACUGCCUCACACGAGGGAGGUCACUUCCCUUCUUGCAAGGAACUGCAAGACUCCCACCGGCUAAAAAAAAAAAAAAACUGAUUCUACUCUUACAUAACAAGCCUAUUUAUAAUCUUUAACUACUAGGAAAUAAACUAGGUAAUAGUCACAUCUAGGCAGGCUAUCACAGCAUAAGUCAAAGAUGAAAUUAAUGAGAAUAUAUGGCAGAUUUGAGAAGUCAAAAUAAGGGGCUGGCUGGCUGCCCUAAACAGUGGCUGUUUAGGGCUGUUUUGGGGCUGUAAUAGCAGAUACAGGACCUGUUGGUUGCUGUCCAACACCAGAAGUUUCUCCUCUCCCAUUUGUACUUGAAUUCCCAACCUUAUAUUGGUUAAAAAUCCCGACCAUACCUGGAACCCCACUCUCCAGAUCUCAAAGUAGGCCUAGUUUGUUGUUUCUCCACCAAUAAAGCCUGGUUGUAGGCUUCCGGCAUGUUUCACAAUGAUUGAAGGCUAAGGACAUCUUGGAUGGUUGGCUUCAAUCCACUCAAGUAACUUGCAACCAUUUGUUCUCCACUUGCAUUUAAAUCUACCCUUACUACAAGAUGGUGAAAUGUCUCCGUAUACUUCUCAACACUACCUUCUUGCCUAAGGUUGUGUAGGUCUUUGUAGAGUGCUUGGGUGUAGUUGGAAGGAAGAAAUUGCUCACGGAGCUUUUUCUUCAUCUUCUCCCAAUUCUUGAUCUUGACUUUACCAAUUCAUUGGCGAUAAAUUUGUAAUUGUAUUGCUGAGCAGGUGGAUUGGGAACUUGCUUGUUGUCCUUCUAAGUUGAAGUGUUUAGAAUAAGGAAGCGAAGGAGAAACUAGUUUUCUGGUUUGGUAAAGUAUUUUUUUAGAUUCAGCAUGGGGGGAGUUCGUAGCUUCUUCAUUGAGUCCAAAUCCUUUAAAUUAGUUUUAGAGGAAGGGGGCCGUUACUUCUUGCUAAGGAUCUUUGAGAGGGGCAGAUUCUUUAUGAGAUCAGUUUUCAUGGGUAAGAAUGCAGUAAUAUGGCUGAUGAAUAACGUUGAAGACUUUGUUGUUGGGAAGAGUUCCAAGCAGUUUUUCAUUUUUAGAGAUGGGGACACUGCCUUUACUCUCCAAAGGAGCUUCAACUCUUUUGGUUAGUUCUUGCUACUGACUGAACUCAAAGUGGGUGGAUGUAGGAGGUUAGUUAUUAUCCCAGAAGGCAAAGAGAAGUUUGGUUGGAGGACCUUUGGCCUUGAACUAAGAAAGCUGCUGAACCCUCCCAUUAUGCGUUGGCUGGUUUUGGUCCUCCAAGUUUUUUUCCUCAGGUGCAGGGGUACAACUUGGAAGCCCAAAACUCUAGAACUUUUGCUGAAGUUGUGCAAGGCUUCCAUGGAAGAACAGAAGUUAGCAAGCACAUUAAGCAGCUGGAUGAAAAGAAGGGGGUGACUCUGAGACUUCAAGGUGCCAAAGUGGGGGUUUUUCCGGUGGGUAAGGCUGAGAAGAUGGAGGUGGGGAGAGGGGAGAGGGGACAGGAGGAAGCAGAGCAUUAAUGUGGAGGCUGAGGUUGGUGAGCAAUAUCUGGCAGACAGGAGGUUACGUUUCCCAAGCUCCAGUUUAAUUUAAAAGAUUAUGAAAAGAUGAAGAAGAGUGAUGCUAGGAGAUAUGGCUGGUUAGGAAGAGGUCUUAUCGUGGAGGUUGAUGUGAUAGGGAGGAGGCGGGUUUCCUGGGACAGAAACAAAGUGGGAGAUAUGAAUUUCAGAGGGGAAUCACGUGCACUGGCGUCGGAUUGCAAUAGAAGAGGUACUAAGGCCCUAAAAUGGGUUGCAAGGGAAACCAAACAGGCUGAACAAGUCUUGGGCCUUGACACAAGCCCAUUGCUGCCCGACCCAGGUGUGGGUUAUUUUAUUUGCUCUGGCCCAAGUCAGUUUGAAGAGGGAGAGAGCUCUCGGUCAGGAGAAGAGAGACUAACUCAGAGCCCGAUGAAGGAGGCGAGCUCCUUGGCUUGUUCCCAGUGCUCCGAUCUUGAGCCGGUGGUGCUGGGCCGGGAUCCUCAGCCUCCGACGGUGGCCGGCGGCCCAUAUUUUGCCGGAAACAGCUCCGAUGAGCACUCUUUUUCACCGGGUAAGUCUGAGCUGACGUUUUCGAGGUCACCGGUGGAGUUUCUCUCUUCUUUUCUCUUCCUCUCUGGCUUCUUUUGUGCUUUUCAAGGGCUGGGUUUGUGGACACACCCAUGAAGGCUGUGGGUGAUGCCCCUGGGGAGGGAGUUUUGGUGGUGGAAGAAUUGGAAAACUUAGAAAUGGGUUUGGGUGUGUUUCACACGAAGGCAAUGGGUGAGGCCAGCGGGGAGGAAGCAUUGGUGGUGGAAGAGUUAAACAAUUCUGAUUUGGGUUUGGGUGUGAUACCCACGAAGGCAGUGGGUGAUGCCCCUGGGGAGAGUGCUUUGGUGGUGAAAGAGAUGAAUAAUUCAGAUAUGGGUUUGGGAGGAGAGGAUAGCUUAUCAAUCCCUCUGAGGUCUAUCACUCCCUUUGGGCUGCCUUUGGCAGCUGAGUUGGACUGUGAUUAUGAGGCAUUGGAAUGUGUGGAUACGUUAGAUAUUUCUAGUUGGGUGAAGAACAGACUUCCUGGUUUUAGUAAGCUGGUGGGGUUUCCUCUGAGUCGACAUGAGAAGUUAUGUAUUGCUUUGUUACAAAAGAUUGAGAAGGAGACGGAGGAUGUCAAAGUGUUGAACAGGAAAGCUGCAACUCCUAGAAAAGCUCUCAUUAAAAAGAAUAGAGGGAAGAGAGAGUUGAGGAACUUGCAAUCUUCGGUUUAACUAUGAUGGCAAGUAGAGUGUAGGUUGCUGAACUAUUUCAUCAGUUGGGAUUGUCAUGUCUUUAUGAAUUUAAAAAUUCUUUCUUGAAAUGUUAGGGGUUUGAAUGACUGUCGGAAAUCGUCAGUUGUGAAAAAUUUAUUGCGUGAGUGGAAGUGUGAUGUAAUUUGCCUUCAAGAGACCAAGCUAUUUGGCUUGGACAGACAAAUGGUUGGCAGCCUGUGGAGCUGUCCCUUUGUGGAUUGGGUGGCUUUAGAUGCUGUCCAGACGGCGGGUGGGGUUUUGUUGAUGUGGGAUAGGAGGGUAUUGGAGAGGUUGGACUUUUUUCUGGGUUCCGUUUCUGUGUCUGUUCUGUGGAAAGGGAUGGGGGAUGGCUUUACCUGGGCGUGUUCUGGGGUGUAUGGCCCAAUUGAUAAUAAUGCGAGGGGACUCAUGUGGGACGAGUUGGUUGGUACUCACCAAUAUUGGAACGUUCCUUGGUGUUGCAUUGGGGAUUUUAAUAUUGUUCGUUUCCCUAGUGAACGGUCGGGUAACUCCCGACUUACUCCGGCUAUGGAUCUUUUUUCGGAGUUCAUUGAGGAUCUUAAUUUGAUUGAUUUGCCUUUGGAGAGAGGGAGUUUUACCUGGUCUAGCGGCUCCGAUCAGCCUUCGAUGUCUAGGAUAGACAGAGUGUUGGUGUCUCACGAUUGGGAAGAGCAAUACCCGGAUGUAAUCCAGUGGAUUUUACCUCGUCCUGUUUCAGAUCAUUUCCCAAUUCUGGUGGAGGUAGGGGGAAUGGCGAGAGGGAAAAUUCCGUUUAGGUUUGAGAAUAUGUGGUUAAAGACGGACGGGUUCAUUGAUAGAGUUCACUCUUGGUGGAAUCGGCAUUCUUUCUCUGGUACUCCUAGCUUUGUGUUUGCCAAAAAAUUGAAGGCCUUAAAAGAAGAUAUUAUUCAGUGGAACCGGUCGGAGUUUGGUCAUGUCGGACGCAAAAAGUCUCAAUUAUUAGAGGCUUUGAAAUUGCUAGAUGCCAAGGAAGGGGAGUUUGGCCUCUCUGAUGCAGAGUUAUGCGAGAGAAUUGUGGUGAGAUCCGAAGUAGAGAGUCUUCUCUCUUUGGAAGAAAUCUCAUGGAGACAAAAAUCAAGAAUGUUAUGGAUUAAAGAAGGAGAUAAUAAUACUAAAUUCUUCCAUAAGAUGGCUAAUUCCCAUAGAAGGUUUAACCAUCUAAGAAUUUUGGAGGUGGAUGGGGUGGUGUAUGAGGAGUCGUCUGAGGUGGCUGCUCAAGUGGUUCAAUUUUAUAAAAAUUUGUAUUAGGAGACAGAGGAGUGGAGGCCUUAUGCAGAAGGUUUGGAGUUCGAUCAGAUAGAUGGGUCGGAGAGGUGCUGGCUUGAAAGGAGGUUUGAGAAGGAGGAGAUCCUUCUAGCUGUUAAUGAGUUGGCUAGGGAUAAAGCCCCAGGUCCAGAUGGUUUUUCCAUGGCCUUCUUUCACCAUUGCUGGAGAGUGGUGGAAAGAGAUGUUCUAGCAGUUUUUGAGGAGUUCUAUCUCCACAGUAAGUUUGAGAAAUCUCUGAACGCUACUUUCAUAGCCUUAAUUCCUAAGAAGAAUGAUGCUUCCAAUAUCCGAGAUUUCAGGCCUAUUAGCUUGGUGGGGAGCUUGUACAAGAUCUUGUCUAAGGUUUUGGCAAAUCGCUUGAAGACGGUUUUAGACCAACUGAUCUCUGAGUCCCAGAAUAGUUUUAUGGGAGGUAGACAAAUUCUUGACUCAGUUCUCAUUGCUAAUGAGUGUGUUGAUAGCAGUGUUAAGAGUAAGACUCCAGGGGUUAUUUGUAAGCUUGAUAUCGAGAAAGCUUAUGACCACGUGAAUUGGGAGGCUUUAUUAGAUCUCUUGAAGAGAAUGGGCUUUGGGGAGAAGUGGUGUAGAUGGAUCCGGACUUGUAUUUCAACUGUUCAUUUCUCUAUUUUGGUUAAUGGAACUCCAGCUGACUUCUUUAGGAGCAUGAGGGGUUUGAGACAAGGGGACCCGCUUUCUCCUAUGUUGUUUCUGGUUAUUAUGAAGGUUUUAAGCAGAAUGCUGAAAAGAGUUGAAGGGGCUGGUUUGAUCAGGGGUUUUAAGGCAGAUGGUAGACGGGGUGAAGGGGAAUGUGUCUCUCAUCUUCUGUUUGCGGAUGACACUAUCCUUUUUUGUGAUGCGGAAGAGGAGCAGAUCCUUCACAUUCGGAUGCUUCUCCUCUGUUUUCAGGCUGUGAUAGGUUUGAAGGUUAAUGUCCUAAAAAGCGAGAUGGUUCCAAUAGGAGAGGUUAAUAAUGUGCAUGCCUUGGCAGAGAUUCUGGGUUGUAGGAUUGGGACUUUGCCUAUGACCUAUCUUGGUAUGCCGCUAGGGGCUCCUCAUAAGUCUCCCUCUAUUUGGAAUCCUAUUUUGGAGAAAACUAAGCGGAAGUUGGCUGGGUGGAAGAAGCUGUAUUUGUCGAAAGGUGGAAGACUGACGUUACUUAAGAGUACGCUAUCUAGUCUUCCUACUUAUUAUUUGUCUCUUUUUACCAUUCCAUCGCAUGUGGCAAAUAAGAUUGAGACGAUGCAAAGGGACUUUUUUUGGGGGGAUUCGAAGGCUCACUUGGUGGGGUGGGAUAAGGUGUGUGCUCCUAAGGCGAAUGGUGGUCUGGAUGUUAGGAAAAUAACCACUUUCAACAAAGCCUUAAUAGAAAAAUAGUUAUGGCGGUUUGGGGUUGAGGAGACUCGUCUCUGGAGGAGGGUUGUAGUUUCGAAGUUUGGGAAAGAGUGGGGGGGUUGGUCUUCUAAGUUGGGUAGGGGUGCCUAUGGGUGCGGUUUAUGGAGAAGUAUUCGAAAAGGUUGGGAGGUGUUUAGUAAAUGCAUUCAGUUUGAAGUAGGGGUGGGGGAUAGAGUGAAGUUUUGGACAGAUAGGUGGUGUGGGGACUUACCACUCCAUCGAUCCUUCCCAUUAGUGUAUGGGAUUGCUUCUAAUAGAGAGGCAUCGGUGGCCUUGUCUCUCGAAAGGUUGGGGAUGGAGGCUCAAAGAAGUUGGAAUGUUCGCUUGUUAAGGGAUCCUAAUGAUUGAGAAAUGGGUGAGGUGGAUGAAUUCCUCCGUACCUAGGGUUCUUAUUUGCCUCGUUCUGAGCUUGGAGACCGUAUGAGGUGGACGUUGACAAAGAAGGGGGAUUUUGACAUCCGCUCUUUCUACAACAAGCUUCGUUGUCCUUUGCCUAUUAUCUUUCCUUGGAAAGGUAUUUGGAAGGUUAAGGCUCUUCCGCGCGUCUCUUUCUUUGUUUGGACUGCAACCUGGGAGAAGAUUCUUACAGGAGACAUUCUGAGGCGUAGAGGAGUGGCUUUUGUUGACCGGUGCAUUAUGUAUCGUAGUAAUGGGGAGACGGUGAAUCAUCUACUUCUUCAUUGUGAAAAAGCUUAUGUGCUGUGGAGCUUGGUUUUUAGAACUUUUGGGAUCUCUUGGGUUCUGCCAAGAUCGGUUGCAGAUACGCUUUUUGGUUGGUGGAAUUGGUUUGGAAAACAUUCUUCUAGCAUUUGGAAUUUAGCUCCUUUGUGCCUUAUGUGGUGUAUCUGGAGGGAGCGGAAUUGGAGAACUUUUGAGGAUAUGGACAAAUCCGAUAAUCAGUUGCUCGCUUUCUUUAGUGGUUCUCUUUUUGAUUGGACUAGGGCUUGGGGAAUCACCUCUAGUGACUCUCUCCCUUUGUUCCUUAAUUCUCUGCUCUGUACUUAGUUCUUAUGUUGGCUUUUGUUUGUUUUGUUGUUUUUUCUUGUUGUUUGUUUCCUUCUCUGUACUCCUUGCUCUACCUUUUGUUUAUCAUGAGGUAGCUCUUUGAAUAUACAUCUUUUUACCUAUCCAAAAAAAAAAAAAUUUGUAAUUGUUCCCACCAAGCGGAAGAUCUCUCUUAAGGCGAAUAGCGACUAGCUUCACUUUCUUUUCAUCCAUAACCUCAUAAUAAUGAAACAUCCUCUCAAUUGUGUUAAGCCAAUACACAAAAUCUUCCCGUUUGAGACUCCCUUGAAAUUCUAGAAUUUCAACCUUGAAGUUGUAGUCUAGCUUUGACUCAUUUCUUUCCACACAAGGGCUUUCCCUUGGAGGAACUCCAAAAGGAUUCUCAAAAUGUGAAUGAGAAUCAUUAGACUCAUCAGUAGCCUCAUGAGGAGGCUGCAAAUGUUGCACCACCUCUGUAAGUGACUCAAUUUGUCUCCUUGAUUCUGCAAUCUCAUAUCCUCUCUCUAUAUUUUGAUUCCAUCCGCCAUUCCUGUUCACCAGAGGGUUGGCUUUAACUCCUUCCCCAACUUCCAUUUGAUUUCCCUUUUUUCCACCUCUCUUUCCUCUCCUUUGGGCCGUUAGAAGCUUCAAAAUUUUUUAAAAAUUGCAAAAGGCAACAACAGUACAAGUGAUCAAAUCUGUGAUAUUUUGCAGCUGCAACAGCAGCACAAUACAAAUUUGAUUGGUACAAGGAACCUAGAUCUGGUUCUAGGAUCUUGAAUGGAGAGAGCAAAAAAAAAAAAAAACACACACACACACACACACAAGGAAAUCUAGGGUUCAAAUGAUCAAAUCAGUAGGGAAAAAGAGGACCGGAUCUGUGCAUUGAUACCAAAUGAUGGAAGUCAAGAUCAAAUAACUAAGAACUUGCUAGAAUUGCCUUAGAAUUAAGAAUCAAAGUUGGAAUUACAAAGAAAAACUGGAGAAACAGAGUUUCCAGGUCUGAAACUAAGUUAAAUUUACAUUUGAAAAAAAAAAAAAAAAAAAAACUGAUUCUACUUUUACAUACGAAGCCUAUUUAUAAUCGUUAACUACUAGGAAAUAAACUAGCUAAUAGUUACAUCUAGACAAGCUAACCCCUUUGGAUUAGUACUCUUCGAUGUUUGGGUCCUAUCCAUGUUAUGUUAUGUCAAAUUAUGUUCAUUACUUUGUUACCUUUGUUGAUGACUACUGACGAAUGACUUGGUUAUUCUUAAUAAAAUCUCGCUCUGAAAUCAAAUUCUGUUUGGCCAGAAAUUCAUAUCUUAUGAUCUGAAAAUGUGAAAAUCAAAAUUCAGUUUGGCCAGAAAUUCAUAUCUUACGAUCUGACAAUGUGAAAAUAUGUCUCAUCCUUUCCCUCUUAUAUUUUUGACAAACACAUUGUACACCAGACCACUUGUCACUUUGCUAACUUUGUUGAUGACUACUGCUGAAUGACUUGGUUAUUCUUAAUAAAAACUCUCUCUGAACUCCAAAUUCAGUUUGACUUUAGAGAGAUAAAGUUUGUGCGCCUAUAGCCAAUAGUGGUUUAGGUAAAAGGAAACUUACUACUUUCAAUAAGGCCUUAUUGGAGAAAUGGCUGUGGCGGUUUGGGCAAGAGGAGAAUUGGCUAUGGAGGAGGGUGGUAGCUUCAAAGUUUGGGAAAGAGUGGGGGGAUGGACUUCUAAGCUAGGUAGGGGAGUUCAUGAGUGUGGUUUGUGUAGAGGUAUUCGUAUGGGCUGGGAGGAUUUUAGCAAAAAUGCACAGUUUGUUGUUAGGUUGGGGAAUAGAGUGAGAUUUUGGCAGGAUGGAUGGUAUGGGGAUCAACCUUUCCAAUUGGCUUUCCCGAGGCUAUAUGGUAUUGCUAUUGACAAUGAGGCCUUUGUAGAAGCUUCUUUGUCAAGGCAAGGGGCAGAGGGUAGAAGAACUUCGGAUGUUCGUUUUAUUCGGGAAUUUAAUGAUUGGGAGAUACAUGAAGGGCUGCAUUUUCUUCGUAUCUUGGGAGCCAAUACUCCUUCAAUGGAUGUUGGAGACUGGUUGAGAUGGAAGUUGAAGUCUAAUGGAGAUUUUGACAUCUGAUCAUAUUAUAACAAGUUGCGGAAUUCUCUCUUAGUUGUCUUUCCUUGGAAAGGUAUAUAGAGAGUUAAGGCUCCUAGGCGUGUUUCUUUCUUCGUUUGGCGUGUAGCUUGGAAUAAGAUCUUAACAGGUGAUAACCUGAGAUUGAGGGGCUUAGAUUUUGUGGACUAGUGCAUUAUGUGUCGAUAUUGCGGGGAGACAGUAGACCACUUACUUCUUCAUUGCGAGAUAGUUUAUUGGUUGUGUUUUGUUUUUAUAACUUUUGGAAUGUUGUGGGUCAUACCUAGAUUGAUUCCAAAUUUGCUUUUUGGCUAGUGGAGUUGAUUGGGGAAGCAUUCGUCUUAGAUCUGAAAUUUAGUUCCGUUGUGCAUACUAUGGUGUCUUUGGAAGGAAUAGAAUCAGUGGACUUUUGAGGAUUUGGAUAGUUCCAGUGAUCAAAUGCUUGUUUCUUUUAGUGGAACUCUCUUUGAUUGAUCUCGGGCUUGGGGACUCAUGACUAUUGAUUCUCUCAUUUCUUUUCUUAGCUCUCUAUCUCUUUUGUAAUUAAUAUGUUGCUUGGUUUUCUUCUAUGUAUUUUCUCUGUCUUUUUCUUGUAAUUUUCUGGUUUGCUUUGUGGUUUUCAUGCAUAGAGUAGCCUUUUGUAUGUAGAUCAUUCUUACUUAUCAAAAAAAAAAAUCAGUUUGGCCAGAAAUUCAUAUCUUACGAUUUGACAAUGUGAAAAUGUCCAAAAGUCACCCUUUCCCUCUUAUAUGUUUGACAAAGGAAUUGUACACCAGACCACUUGUCCUCACACCACAACAGAUUGGUGUUACUGAGCACAAAAAGAAACAGCUUCUUAAUGUGGCUCAAGCCCUCUUGUUUAUACGAACAUGCCUAAAUGGUUCUGGAGUGAUGCCGUAUUGACUACAUGUUACCUUAUCAACAAGAUGCCAUCCACUGUUCUUGAUGGAGCAUCCCCUCACUCUAUCCUAUUUCCUUCUUCUUCAUACUUCCAUUCGCCUCCUAGAGUUUUUGGAUAUGUUUGUUACAAUCCCAAUUUUGUUCAAGGAUUUGACAAACUUGGUCUUCACUUUGUGUAUUUCUUGGUUAUUCAUUGACGAUUCUUGAUGUCCCUUGUGGCCAAUCUUGAUUUUCUUCUCUAUCAGUUGGAUGCCAGGAAUGCAUUUCUCCAUGGUGACCCACCUGAGGAAGUAUAUAUGGGCAACCACAUGGAUUGGUUGCUUAAGGAGUAUUAGGGUAGUGUCUACAAGCUAAAGAAAACAUUAUAUGGUCUCAAAUAGUCACCAAGAGCAUGUUUUGGAAAAUUUUCUGAAGUUGUCAUGGAAUUAGGUCUCCGCAAAUCAUUGGGUUUUCAAUUUACAUAUUAAUACUAAACGCAUACUACUUGUUGUCUAUAUGAAUGACAAUAAUUAUUGGGGAUGAUUUUGAAGGCAUUACCAAAUUGAGACAAUUCUUACAACAACUCUUUCAAAUCUUAACCAAUUCUGUUAAGGAUAAAGUUUAGUUACAGAAUUAGUUGUAGCCUUAGACUACAAACUUACUUAAUAUCUUUUUAUUGGAGGUGAAUUUUGACAAAUCUACCAUUGGAUUAUUUAUAUAUUUUUUUUGAUAAGUAAUAAAGAUUCAUUGAUAUCAAAAAGAGAGAGACACCCAAGUACACAGGGAGUAUACAGGGGCGAACAAAUCAAAAACGAACAUUACAAAAAUCAAGUAAAUCCAAAAUAGAAGAAAAAUGAUGGUUUUUCCACACAAAGAACCAAUCAAGUAAGGUUCUAAAGAAAAGAAGCUUGAGAUCAGGCAUGGAACGCUCCUUGUCUUCAAAACACCUACAAUUUCUCUCCUUCCAAAUACACCACAUCAAACAAUGUGGAACAACCAUCCAUAUAUCUCCAUUACGAUGGCGACCAAAAUGACCUUGCCAGCAAGCCAAAAGCCCAACAACAGAUAAUGGCAUAACCCAGCAAACUCCAAAUAAACCAAAAACCAUAUCCCACAACUCCAUAGCAACCGGGCAAUGAAGGAAAAGAUAGUCAAUAGUUUCAGUAUUACAUUUGCACAUAUAACACCAAUCCAAAAUGCAAACCUUUAUUUUCCUUAAGUUGUCAAUUGUCAGACAUUUCCCCAAGGCUAUGGUCCAAACAAAGAAAGCCACUCUAGAGGGAAUCUUUUGCUUCCAAAUGCUUUUCCAAGGAAAAAACUGCUCACUAUGGCCAACUAGAAGAUGGUAGUAAGCACUGAUCGUGAACCCCUUACUCUUACAAGGCAGCCAACAUCUCUUAUCCUCACCAUUCCCCCUUACAGUAGUGCAAUAAAUGGAAUUGAUGAAACUCCUGAAAGUUUCCAAUUCACGAUUAUGCACCUCCCUACAAAAUUGAAAAUCCAAAUGGAGGACUCCAUUGGUGAACCUCAUUAGAUCCGCCACACUUGUCUCUUUGCUACGACAAAUCCUAUAUAAAUCAGGAUAGCGGUCUGCGAGAGAAGUUCCACACCAACGAUCUGGCCAAAACUGCACUUUUGAUCCAUCUCCAAUUUCAUACAGAAUAAACCGAGAUAAGGAGUGCCACCCCCUUCUAAUAUUUUUCCACAAACUAACUUCAUAAGGACCAGAGAAAGAGCUAGAACGCCAACCACCCUAAUCACAACCAUACUUCACCUCUAUCACUUGACGCCAUAGAACAUCUCUUUCUUGCAAAAUUUCAAUAAAAUUAAAGAUCAAUAACUGUAUCAUCAAUAAAUUUUUUAAAUUGCAAGUUUUUAUAAAUUAAAAUUAUGCACAAAAUAUAAACUUAUAAAUCAUAUAAUAAAUAAUAUCAGAUUGACACAAAAUUUAAUAUGUGUAUUAAGAGCGUAAAGAACAUGCAAUUCAACGGUUAAAUUUUUAAAAUAUGUUGUAAUAUAUAUUUUACUGAGUGAGAUUGUAGCCUUAAGGUACAACCAAUUUUGUACUUUCGUUAAUUAGUGGGGAAGCUUAAUUAUCUCAUACGUAGUUAGUGUUAUGAGUCAAUUCUUAGCAGCUCCAAGAAUCUCACAUUGGGAUGUACGAUACCUAAAUAGAGCUCUAGGACAAGGCAGAUUGUUGAAAAAGCAUUCAUCUUAAGGUAGAUGGCUUUGUUGAUGCUAACUAGACAAGAUCACUUUCAAAUAGAAGGUUCACCGCCGGGUAUUACACCUUAGGAGGAAACCUCAUAACAUGGAAAAGUAGGAAACAUAAUAGAGUUUUCCUGGUCGAGUGCAAAAGCAAAAUACAAAGCAAUGUCACAUAUUACCAGUGAGCUACCUUGGUUACAGCACUUCAUUUGGGAGUUAGGCUUCUCAGUACCUACUCCUAUUCCACUAUCCUAUGAUAGAUAUGCAUGUUGCUUCCAACCCCAUGUUCCAUGAAAGGAACAAGUACAUUGAAGUAGACUACCAUUUCAUUUCUCACACUGAGUGGAGAAAUAGCUACACCAUUUGUGAGAUUUGAGGACCAACUUAUUGAUGUCUUUACAAAGUCUUUAUGUAGAGUCGAGAAGAGUAUUUGUUCCAAGCUAGGUUUACAUGACCUAUAUCUGCUUCAAGAGGGAGUGUUAGUGAGAGUUGUAUCAUUCUAUAAAGAUAUUGUGAUGCCCCAUGUUUGAUUGGAUAUUGAUUAAGUCUGUGUUUUGUGGGUGUUUGAUUAGUCCCACAUCAAGCAUAUAAUAUGUUGAUUUGAGAUUUAUUAACAACUACAAGAAGCGUCAAUUGUGAUAGACUAGUCCUUGGGGGGUAUAGUGCAUAUGUGACUAGCACUUUUCUUUUCGUAUUGGGUUUAGACUGCCUUCUUUGAAUAUUUUCUUCCUGACUCCCCCCACCCAAAAAAAAAAAAAAAAAAAACUUAAAUGAAAAGGAAAUGCCAAAAAUGAAAAAGUUCACAAUACUUUUGUGUAAGUUUGAUAGCUUUUGCAGCAAUAUUUUUGCAAUGAAGUACAAAAUACACUGUGAAAUGGAAUCGUAUGCUCUCUUUUGACAAGAUCAAUUUUGUUCUCAUUAGGUGUUAGGACGUCUUUUUUUUCCUUAGCUUAUCAAAAAAAAACAAAAAUCUUUCUAGUGUGGCUAUAUAGUUUACCAUUGCCCUAUAUAUUGAUCUUUGUACUUCUAAUAAAUCUUUUCAGGGGCGUAAAAUGUCAAAAACACUGGGUAAUGUUAUAGAUCCAAUUGAUACUAUCAAGGAUUUUGGCACUGAUGCUUUACGUUUCACACUUGCCUUAGGAACUCCUGGCCAGGUUUGUUUGUUAUAAUUCCUUUAAAUGCUGCAUUGUUUCAACAUUUUAACAGACUAUAUGGGCUUAUGAAAAUUUACCUUAUCAACUGACUUAUAUCCAUUUCUUGCAGGACCUUAAUUUAUCCACUGAGAGGUUGACCGCCAACAAGGCCUUCACCAACAAAUUGUGGAAUGCUGGCAACUUUUUGUUGCAGAAUUUACCUACUCAGAAUGAUGCAUCUGCUUGGAAAAAUAUAUUGGCUUAUAAGGUUUGUUCAUUUUUAUUCUCUUUUGAUGAGGUCAAUGAAAUAAUACUAUGAUGCUAGGAAAAAACCUAUAUUUUAUAGAACAUUCUUUGUUUAACCAGAGAGGAAAGAUUAAUUAAGUACAGAGAAAGUAUACAACAGAUACACCAACAAUUAUGAUAGGAAAUUGUUAGAAUUAUGGUUAAGUGAUUAAAUUCACCGUUUCCGAAAAAUUUAAGUUUUUGAGAAAAUUGGAAUUUAUUAUGGUAUCAGAGUCGGAGGUCUUGAGUUCGAUCCCUGUCUCCACUCUACCUCCUAUUUAAAAUGUUAAAAAUCUCAUGUGUUAGGCCCCACUUUUUAAGAGGGAGUUUGGGUCCACACGUGAGGGAGAGAGUGUUAGAAUUAUGGUUAAAUGAUUAAAUUUAUCAUUUUCUUACAGUUUAAGUUUUUUGGACAAUUGGUAAUUUAUUAAAAAUUACAAAGAUCAAGCUACACAAAUAAUUUCGAAAAAGAAUAAUAUUUUGUGGUUGUCAUCCAGUCAUAUACGCAUCUUAGGAGUUAGGAAUAAGAGUUUCAGGUAUACAACUGAUCUUUCACACACUUUUAAGAUCCAACUAUUUCUUUUUCUCCAAAUGCAUCACAUGAGACAAGAAGGGUGUAUUUGAAGUGCCUAUCCUUUGAGAUCUACCAACUGACCUUGCCAACUAGAUAACAGAUCAAUCACGCUUUGACAUGUGACCCACUGAUUUCGGAAAAGACUUAAAACAAUAGUCCCCAACUCUCUAGCGAUAUCACAACAAAUAAGAUUACAAGCAGCCACUCCAAAAUCACAAUCUCCCACACAGGCUAAAAGGGCUGAAAAACAAGUGAAACUUCAACAAAGAAACAACACUCCAUAACACUAAUCCAAGCAGGACAAGCCUGUCAAAUUCACAAAUCUGCAAAUAACCAUCAAAAUAAUCUUCCUUGGUCCGAUUUAGCCCUUAUGGGACUAGGCCCAACCAACAAAACAAGCAAAAAAGCUCCAAAAUCACACAUUGAAAAAAAUAUGCCGAUAAACCCAAAAGCCAUUGGAAAAUAUAGAUAAGGUGAUCCAUUGUCUCCUUUGCUCUUCGUCAUUGUCAUGGAUACAAUGGGUAAAAUGUUGGAUAAGGCUGUCAAUGAAGGCUGUAUAUUAGGCUUUAGGGUGGGCAAUCUAGAAGGAAGUUCUUUAGUAAAGUCUCAUCUCUUUGCUAACAAUACUUUGAUUUUCUAUGACUCUGAUGUUGAUCAACUUUUGCUACUACGUAUGGUGCUCAUCUGGUUAAAGGCAGUUUCAGGUUUAAAAAUUAAUCGGGGCAAGUCUGAGUUGGUUCCUAUGGCAGUGGUUCCGAACAUUAUGCUUUAGGUGGAUGUGCUAGGAUGCAAGUAGGGUGGGUCUUCCUUUGGGUGCUAAUUUCAAAGAAAGGACAUAUGGAAUCCAAUUUUAGAGAAGGAGGAAAGGAUAUUUGCAAGAUGGAAAUGUUUAUAUUUAUCUAAGGGAGGAAGAGUCACUUAUAUUAAGAGUGCUCUUUCGAGCCUGCCUACCUACCUUCUCUCUUUAUUUCCUAUUCCCGUAGAUGUGGCUUAUUGUAUUGAAAAACUCUUAACGGAAAUUUUUAUGGGGUGGUAUGGGGUAAGAGACUAAACCUCAUCUAGUUAAAUGGGCAAAUGUUUGUACUCAUCUUUCUCUGGGUGGUUUGGGUAUUAGAAGAUUGUUUACCCCAUUAUACUUCCCGUAUUCUUGGGUGAUUCAUUUCCUGAUUUACAUAAUUUUAGUACGUAUGUAAAAAAAGACCAUUCACUUUAAAUGGCUCCUAAAAAUUUCACAAAAAUUACCUUAUUUACUUUGAGAGAGAGGCAAGUAAACCAUAUGAUCGCCAGUCCAAGCUGUCUGUACCAGCCCCAAUGUCAACAUGGUGUCAUGCUGAGGUCAGUGGACAGAUGCUGAUGUCAGCACCCUCUAUCAUCCCAGGAUCAAUUUGAUGGGUACUAGGGCUGGAUCGGGGCACUCUGAUGCCAAGUUGAGUUGUAGAAUAUGAAAAUUAGGGUUAACAGAGAAAAAAAGGAGAUUAGGGAGACAGAAAAGUAAGGUUUAGGGCAUAGUUAGUCAAGCCCACACUUAGCAUCUCUAUAUAUUAAGAGGAUUCAGAAAAUUAGUUAUUGCCCUUUUCACUUCCAAAAAUACCCAUAAUUUAAUUAAUUUAUCCUUAUUCUUGAAAAUAAGAAAUGAGGUUAAAACUGUAAAUAGACAAAAGUUAAAAGAAAAAAAAAAACUAUUGGUUAUUAACUUCCCACUACCCACAUUCAAAAAAGAAAAGAAAAUAACUACCCCUACCAAAAAAAAAGGAAAAACUAUCCCAUGUUUCUUUUUUAAACUUUUACAUUAUAAUUUUUUUUUUUGGAUGUAUUACAUUAUCAAUUUGGAUUUGGAUAAACAUGCAAAAGCUUCUAAUUAAAAUAGGAAUCCUAUUCUCUUCAGGAAAAAAAAUCCUAUCUAUUUUUUCAAAUUGUGAUGAAGGAAAAAUUAUGAUACUAAACCCCAACAAAAAAAGAGAGCCUCAUUGCACGCAUAAAGCGGUGAUGAGGCUAGUAUAUUUAUAUUAAAGCAAUUUAGCAAGAUUGCAAAAAUAUACUUUUAAGCAAUAUAAAUAAAAAAGUGGAUAGAGAAAGUAACAACAAUAACUCAACAGGGCUGAUCAAGAUUAGCAAUAGAACAUUGCAUGUGAGCCGCUAAACACUACUUAAAAUGCUCAAUAUGAUACAGUUCUGAAAAAGCCUCUAAUAGAACCUGAUCUCCACACCAUAAGUCAUGCCAAAAUUUGAGAGUUAGUGCCCUUAUCCACCUCAAAUCUACAAAGGAAGGAGGUGCGUCUUGAGGUAGAGGUCAUUGGCAUGAUGCCUUAAUGUCGAAGACUAAUUAUACCGUGUUUAAUUUGAUUAGGAAUUUGAUAAGAAUACCUCUGAUGUGAGGAUCCUUUAAGACUGGUUUAUUUUAUCCAGAAAACCCUUGUACAUGAUAAACUUGAAUUAUCUCAUAUAUUCUACUUUAAGACAUUUAUAAUGUUAUGUCAAAAAUUAAAUAAAAUUGGGAUAAAAAAUAGAUAACAAUAGUUCACAUAAACUCAAAUGAAAAAAAUUAAAUUAAGACAAAGGGUAAUAAAUUGGGGAUUGUAUAAGAUAAGAAAAACUAUAUUUUUGUUAGUCAAAUGGUACUAAAUUGAGGGUAUGAUUGUCACUUAUAUUAUAAAUUUUCAUAGCCUUUAGAAUGUUUGGAGAUUAGUGCCUCAUUGUUUGAUUUGGUGCAUAUGGCAUGAAAGGAAUGCUAGAAGCUUUGAGGGUAGUGAAAGAUCUUUGCUAGAGAUUAAGUCUUUUUUCUUGCACACUCUCUUUGAUUGGAGUGUGGUCUUUUCUCAUUUUUCUUGUCCUUCUUUUUCUAUUUUUCUUGACCGUUGUACUUUUGUUUUAUGAUUUGUGCCCCCAUAGUACAUCCCCAAUGUACUCGGUUUGGCACUUUUUCUAUUAUUAAUAAUAUUCUUACGUUUUUAAUAAAAAAAAAAAAGAAUGUAGACACCCAUCUUUUUUUGAGGGAAUCCACUUUACCAUAGAAUUGAGGUUUGGUGGCAAUUCAUAUGCUUGUGGACAUCUGAAUUCCCUUGAGCUACAGCCAAACAAGGGAAGGUUUAAAAUAUAUUAGGUUCACGGGAAUCUUGAAAGAUGACAUGAGGACUAGGAGUUGCAGUGUUUAGAUAAUUUCUCUGAGAUGUUAUUUUCCAUCCAAAUUAGUUUGUGUAUGAAAGACAAGGUGAUUUGGAAAUUAAGAAAAAUGGGUGUUUCAGUGUUUGCCUUGUAUUAUUAGGCUCUAAGAGGGAAUUCUGUUUCCAAAUUCCCUUGGCAGGCAAUAUGGAGGGUAAGGCUCCUUUGAGUGUGGCUUUCUAUGUGUGGACAACUACUCAGUACUCACCAUGGAAAAUCUCUAGAAAUGAGGUAUGGUGGUUGUUAAUUGAUGUGCAAUGUGAAAUGGCAUGCGGAGCAUGUUGAUCAUUUGCUUUUGCAUUCCCCAAUAGUGAGGGUCAUGGAAUUUCAUGUGUGGUUUUUGGAGUAAAGUUGGUAAUGCUUGAAGCAUUGAUGGGAGAACUACAAAGCUGGGGUUGAAACCUAUUUCACUCAUAAAGAGGGUUUCAGAUGUGGCAGAUUUGGAAGGAGAGAAAUCAUAGAACUUUUGAAGGGCUAGAGUUAAAUAUUGAGAGGUUUAAGUCCCAAUAUGCAGGCACUCGUUUGUAUUGUAUGUCUUUGGAUGGAGUCAACCUUGGGAUAUGUAAUUCCAUAGACACUUUGUACCCUUAAAUGGACUGGACAAUAAGGGUGAUACAGCCAGUAUUCUCCAUUUGUUUCCAUUCUUCAGUCUUAAUACAAUUGAUUGUACUUAUUACUCCCUCCAUGCUAUUUUGUUUGGCUUAUUUAGAAAAUCCAACUUGUUAAAGAAACAUCAUGUAAUGCAUUUGAGGAUACUAAUCCAAAAAAAUAAAAAUAAAACAUUUGAGGAUGAAAUUUACUUAAUUUUGAAAGUUGAGGGACUAAAUUGGCACAAUUAAUAGUUGAUGGACUAAAUUGACAUAAUUAAUAGUUCAAGGACCAAAUUGAACAUUAAUACUCUGUUGUUGGACGACCAGAUUAGUACUUUAACCAAAAAAACCAUAAAUGUGAAGAUAAAUAUUUGCAAUUACUCAUAGCCAUCAUGUCAUCAAGGAUAUAUAUAUAUAUAUAUGUGUGUGUGUUUUUUUUAAACUUAAGAUUAGGGUUUUUCAUUUCGUUCUAGAUGUAGUUAGAGCAACUAUAAGGUAGCAAAUACAUAUUUUGUAUAUUUAAAAGUUUUUUUUUUUUGUCAGUUCGACAGUGAGGAGUCUCUAAUUGGGAUACCUUUACCAGAACGUUGGGUGGUAAGACAACUGUGAAAAUUUGUUUUCUGUUUUGCCAAUUCAGUAUAUCUCCUUUAGUUACCAUUUUUCUUUCUCCUAAUUCCAGGUCUCAAAACUUCAUUUGCUUAUUGACAUGACCACCGCAAGUUAUGAUAAAUUUUUCUUUGGAGAUGUUGGAAGAGAAACAUAUGAUUUCUUUUGGGGUGAUUUUGCUGAUUGGUAAGUCAUAUAAUAAUAAUGAAGAUUUUAUCAGAAAAUAAAUCUUUAUAUUUUAUCCAUAUUCAAUUAUAUGUUAGAGAAUAGUCACUUAGGGCCUGUUUGGAUUGAGCAUCAUCCAUAAGUCAUAACUCAAACUCAGUUCCCAUAACUCAUAUCACUCUCUCUAUUUUUUCACUCACUCAAAUUAAAACUUGUUUAGUUUCAUUCUCGGUCCCUAUAACUCAAAAUAUUAGAAAAAGCGGUGGGACCCAUUUACUGUGCAGGGUCAGAACAAUCCCUUCUCUAUCUUCCUUCUCUUUCAUUUUUUUCAUUUCACGCCUCCUUCCUCACUUUCACAUGUUUCACUUCGAGCUAUCACUCACCAUUGUUUAUGGCUUUCAGAGAGAGACAGAGGGGUGGCAUGGCAUAACUUUUCUUGCAUUAUGCUAAGAGCCUAAGAUAAUAAUUCAGCAAUCAACCACCCACCAUUGCUUCUGUGGCCUGGAGCUGGAAAUAAAAAUUUGAAAAGAUAAAAGAUUUUGCGAUAGAUUUGUACCAAACAACAUGCAUGGUGAUCAAAUUAACAAUGUAUUCCAUAUUCCCAUUGACUCUAGACUUGAUGGCUACAAAAUUUAUUCCUAUUAAAGCACAACACAAGCUGAAGAUAGCUGGCCACACCAUAACAGCAUCAACGGUGUGUAGAUGAGAGAGGGACUGUGUCCUUUGGUCAGACUCAAAAUUGGCAGAACAGACCGCCAGUGACAGAUCGUGUCCAUUCGAUCAGCUCGUGUCUUCAGCUGGACAGGUCCUCUUCGGCUGGACAGCUUCUCAACUUCGGAUGCACCAGAUUCUUCAGGGGAAGAAAAGUGAGGAGGAAGAGAGAUGGUGAAAGAGUGUGGGUGUGUGGUGCUGUGAGAGUGAGAGAAGAACAGAUGAGAGUGUGCCACAGAAAAGAAAAAGAAAUGAAACAAAGAAAAAUGAACCCAGCCCCAACAGUCUCAAUUAAUAUGACAUGACAACACAUUGUUGUGCAACCCACCAAUGCAACAAUCUUGCCAUUGAAACUCAAAUCCAAUAACUGGAAAACAGCAAAAUCUUGUUUCCUGUUUUCGUCACUCAAACUCAAAUUUUUGAGUUUUGAGUGAUGAGAACAAAACUCAAGAAUCUGUCCAAACAUGCAUUUUCUCAGUGGCUCCCACACUUUUUGAGUUUUGAGUGAUGAGAACAAAACUCAAGAAUCUGUCCAAACAUGCAUUUUCUCAGUGGCUCCCACACUUUUUAAGUUUUGGGUGAUGAAAACUGAGUUAUAUAACUCGGUUUUUGCUUAUCCAAACACCCUGUUACUGGUUAGACACAAACCUAAGGUUUCUCCAUAGAUGUCUGGUACGGUUGGAAAGUGAGUAGCUAUCCUAAGAUACAUAAAAGAAUGAUGUACAUUUCCUUGAUGUACUGGCCAAGUCCAAUUAGUUGAAACUGAGUAGCUAUCCUUAGUUACAUAAAAGAAUGAUGUACAUUUCCUUGAUCGACUGGCCAAGUCCAAUUAGUUGAAAAAACCAUAUACAAAGUAUGAAAAAAAUUAUCAAUUAUAUGGUUUCAGUUUCUUUAUUAGGCUUUUUAUGAAAAUACCACUUUGGUCCCUACAAUUUUUUUUUUUUUUUUUUUUGAUAUGUAAGAAAGAACUGUAUAAAUAAAGCUAUUUUAUGCAAAGGGGCACAAAAUAAUCUAGGAGUACAAAGAAAGAAAGGAAAGAGCAAAAAAGAAAACUUAAAUACAAGAGAGAAGAGAACAAAUAAACAAAGGGAGGGAUUCACUAGAUGUAAUUUCCGAAGCCUAAGACCAAUCAAACAAAGAACCACUGAAAGAAGCAAGCAACUGGCCAUCCGAACUAUCCAUAUUCUCAAACAUCCGCCUAUUACUCUCCUUCCAUAUACACUACAUCAAACACAACGGAACUAAAUUCCAAAUAUGUGAAAGAGUGCUUUCCCAACCAAUUCUACCAAACAAAAAGAAGAUCUAGUACCGAUUUUGGUAAGACCCAUAUAAUGCCAAAGGAUAGAAAAAUAAAACACCACAACCGAUAAGCCUUUUCACAAAGAAGCAAUAAAUGUUCUACUGUCUCCCCACAACAACGACGCAUUACAGGCCAAUAAACAAAAUCAAAAACCCUAAGUCUCAAAUUGUAACCCGUAAGUAUCUUAUCCCAAGUGCAGCCCAAAAAAAAAAAAAAAAAAAGGAACUCGUUGAGGUUUCUUAACUUUCCAAAUACCUUCCUAGGAAAGACGAUGGGAAUAAGACCUUGGAAUUCAUUAUAAAACGAACGGAUGUCAAAUUCCCAUUCUUCUUCAACUUCCAUUUCAUGCGAUCCUCAUUUUUAGUUGAAUGGGUGUUGGAUUCCAAAAUACAAAGAAAAUCCAACACUAAGUCCAACUCCCAAUCAUUUAGAUCCUAAGUAAAACUUACAUCCCAGCUCCUCUCCCCCAUUCCCUACCUCUACUAAGGAAAACUCUACAUAAACCUCUCUAUUAAUUGCAAUCUCAUACAAAAUUGGGAAAGUCAAUUGAAGAGGUUUCUCCCCACACCAACAAUCUUGCCAGAGUUUUACUCUAUUUCCCACUCCAAUCUCAAACCGAGUAUGUUGGCUGAAUGCCUCCCAACCCAUUCAAAUGGCUCUUCAUAAACUGCAACCAUGAACACCCCUACCCAAUCUUGUCAGAGUCCCUAAUAAGGCUUUAAUAAAGGUUGUGAGUUUCCUUAUCCCCAAGGCCCAGUGGCCAUAGACACACACACUUUGCAUCUUCUUGAUCUUAUUAGCCACAUAAGUAGGAAUGGUGAAGAGUGACAUAUAAUAGGUAGGAUGUGUCAAUAACAUACUCUUGAGCAAUGUCAAUCUACCAUCUUUUGACAAAUAAAGCUUCUUCCACCCUGUUGAUUUCCUCUUAGUUUUCUCCAAAAUAGGAUUCCAAAUAGAAGGGGACUUAUGAGGAGCCCCUAAAGGCAUGCCAAUGUAAGAAAUAGGCAAAGACCCAACCCUAGAACCCAAGAUAUCUGCCAAAGCAUGCACAUUAUCAACCUCCCCUAUUGGAACCAUUUCACUCAUAUGCACAUUUACCUUCUAGCCCAUCACAAUUUGAAAAUAGAAUAGCAACAUUUGUAUAUGAAGAAUCUGUUCCACAUCUUCAUCACAAAAAAUGAUCUUAUCAUCUGCGAACAAGAGAUGUGAGACAUAUACCCCAUCACCUUGCCUAUCCUCAGCCUCGAAACCUCGAAUUCAACUUGCCCCCUCUACUCUCUUCAACAUCCUACUAAAAACCUCUAUCAUGAUUUUAAAAAAAACAUAGGAAAUAGCAGAUUCCCUUGUCUCAAUCUCCUUGAACUUCCAAAAAAAUCAGCUGGAGACCCAUCUACCAAAGUAGAGAAUUGAACAAUGAAAAUACAAGUACGAAUCUAUUUACACCGCUUCUCCCCAAAACCCAUUCUCUUUAGCAAAUUUUGGAAUGCCUCCCAAUUCAUAUGAUCAAAAGCUUUCCCAAUAUCUAGCUUACAAAUAAACCCUUGGAAUCUUUCUCUUCACUUGGCUAUCCACAUAUUCAUUCGCAAUAAGAACUAAGUCAAGUAUUUGUCUUCCACCCACAAAGCCAUUUUGGGACUAAGAAAUUUGCUAAACUAGUACCCCUCCCAGACGAUUUUCCAAAACCUUAGCCAAGAUUUUAUACACGCUCCCCACCAAACUAAUAGGCCAAAAAUCUCUAAUAUUUGAUGUAUCAUUCUUUUUAGGAAUAAGGGCAAUGAAAGUAGCAUUGAGAGAUUUUUCAAACUUACCAUAUUGAUAGAAUUCCUUGAAAACAGUUAAUACCUAUUUCUCCACAACUAUCCAACGAUGGUGGAAAAGAGCCAUAGAGAAGCCAUCCAAACUUCCAUAUCUCUGACAACGUGAAGGAUCUCCUCCUUCUCAAACUUCCUUUUGAGCCAUCCCCCCACCCCCCCUCCCAAAAAAAAAAAAAAAAAGGGUAAAACUCCAAACUGUCCUCAAAAGGUCUCUACUCCUUUGUCUCUUGAUAUAAUUUUUUUUUUUUUUUUUUAAUUGUUGAGGGAAAUGUGUGUUGGGUUUGUUAACUUAACCCAAACACAUAAAAUAUUAUUUAUAUAUAAAAGAAUGAGUACAAUNUCCGUCCACAAGCCAAAAAAAGCCACCCGUUCUACUCCGCAAGGACUCCAAAUAUGCCUUUGAGAGGCUCUCGUCCAUUAUAACUACCGAGGACUAUGAGGACUUGGGUAACCACUCGACGGAGGCGAUGGGAGAGACGACCCUUUUUAGCAUUGCUCAGGUAACUCAUUUGUCGUCAUAUUGUCUGUUCUCCAGCCCCCCCCCCCCCCCCCCCCCCCCCCCCUCCCCCCCCCCAAUUUGAUCAAACUCCAAACUGUCCUCAAAAGGUCUCUACUCCUUUGCCUCUUGAUAUAAUUUUUUUUUAAACUGUUGUCAGGGAAACGUGUGUUGGGUUUGUUAACUUAACCCUAACACAUAAAAUAUUAUUUAUAUAUAAACGAAUGAGUACAAUCAUAUUACAAUUUUGCCCCUAACUUUAUACUCAUAACAAAAACUAUACUAGCUAGGCAGCCACCUCAGAUUCCUCCUCAUAUAUCACCCCAUCCACCCUAAAAUACCCAAAUGAUUAUACCUUCUAUUAGUUUUUCAUCUUGUGAUAAAACUUAGUAUUAUUAUUUCCAUUCUUGAUACAUAACAUCCUCGAUUUAUAUCUCCACAAUAUUUCUUCCAAGGUAAGAAAGUGUUCAACCAGGGACCGUACUUCAACCCUUUCAUGCUUCUCCACAUUUGUGAGUCCAAGCUCUCCUUCCAUAGCAUCUAAUGUCUUCAAAUCAUCCAAUAAUUUUUUCUUCUUUCAAAGCCUUCAACUUUUUGGCAAGCACAAAGCUAGGCAUACCAAAAAAGGAAUGUCAAUUCCCCCAAGAUUGAAUUCUAUGCAUGAACCCAUCCAACUUUAACCACAUGUUUUCAAACCGGAAAGGGCUUUUUUUCCCUCAACAUUAUCCUGUCUCCAAAAGGAUUGGAUAAUGGCCUGAAAUGGGAUGAGGUAAAGUUUGCUGAAUCACAUCCGGAUAGUGUAAAGUGUUCCUCCCAAUCAUGAGAAACCAAAGCUCUAUCUAUACUAAACGUCAAAGGCUGGUCUGUGCCACUAGACCAAGCGAACCUCCCUCCUUCCAAAAGCAAAUCAAUCAAAUUAAGAUCCUCAAUAAACUUUGAAAAUUUUUCUAUAGCUGGAGUCAGUCUUGAACCUCCCAUCCACUCACUUAGAAAACAUACAAUGUUGAAGUCCCCAAUGUAGCACCACGGUACACUUCAAUAUUGUUGAAUACCGACAAACUCAUCCCACAUGUGACCUUCUCAUUAUCGUCAUUUGGGCUGUAUACCCCUAAGCAAGCCCACAGAAAACCAUCCUCCACCCCUUGCCACCGAACUGACACAGAAAAAGUUCCCACCAUGUCCUCCAAUUUUUCCAAAACCCUUCUAUCCCACAUAAUUAGGACUCCACCCUCUAUCUGAUCAGCAUCCAUAGCAACCAAUCCAAAUAAGGGCAACUCCACAAACUACAAACCAUUUGUCUAUCCAUGCUAGCAAUUUUAGUUUAUUGUAAACAAACAACAUCACUCCUCUACCCUUGUAACAAAUUGUUAUGAUCCUAGUGUCUCACAUUGGUUAAGUGUAAACUUAAUAAUGUGUUUAUAAGCUCUUAGGCACCCUUCCUUUGCAAGCCGGUUUUCAAUGGUGAGUUUUACCCAUGGGUUUGUAACAUUUGGUAUCAGAGCCAACCAUCACCCCGAUUAAUCAGGUGUAGCUCAUUAAGUAUGGGAUUAAAUGAGUUGUGGCUUUGUGGUCAGAUCCUGAAAGGGGCGACCUAGAGGUUGGAUUAAAAUUACUGAUAGUUGAAUAGAGCCACCAAAAAGAGAAAGGGCUACCAAUGGGUCAAUGUCACUAGAGUGAGCCGUCGUGGACAUCGGCUGUGGAGCGUGGUGGUAUGUUAUGAUCCUAGUGUCCCGUGUAGGUUAAGCGUAAACUUAACCAUGUGUUUAUAAGCUCUUGAGCUACCAACGGGUCAGUGUCGCUAGAGUGAGCCUCUGUGGACGUCGACUGCGAAGCGUGGUGGUAUGUUAUGAUCCUAGUGUCCCACGUAGGUUAAAUGUAAACUUAAUCAUGUGUUUAUAAGCUCUUGGGCACCCUCCUUUUGCAAGCCAGUUUUCAAGGUUGAAUUCUACCCAUGGGUUUGUAACACAAAUUUCUUACUAUGAUGCUUUUCCAAGGGUCAUUCAAACCUAUAACAUUCAACGAGAUCAUUUUUAGCUUCAUCUAAGCACAAAAAACCCUUAGCCUAAGGUCUACACAGCCAACUCCUUAUCUCGUUCUUAGAUUUGGCUGUUUUGUUACCUCCAGUAGCUUUGCUAUUCAACAAAUUGGCAGCCUCCAUUUCUUGUACAAAGCAAUACACAUCUUCUCGUAUCAAUUUAAAGGAAGACCAACCAAUUUACUGAAUGGACGAAUUCUAUAUUUCACCAGCCUGAAAUGUCACUAUCAUCAAAACACAAUACCUGACUGACGUUAUCCAGUUCCAUUGACAAAUCUGAGCCCAUGGCACAAACAGUAGGGACAAUUGUCAUUAAAGGAUUACAAUCAAAAGGGUUGUCACCCACACGAGAACCCAACUCUAGAAAAUCAACCUCUCCCUCCACCAAAACACUCUCCCAACAAAACCAGUCAUCCUAAGAAGGUAUCACCAUGAUGCAAGGCCGAUCCAACUCACAAACAGGACUUGGCCCUAGCCAUACAACAUCCACCACCUCACACAGUCUUGCCCCACUCGCACAUCCAAUCAAAGCCAUCUUGGAGCAAAAAGACUCCACCUAAAUGCCACGGUCUCAUCCCCACCCUUAUCGACCAAGGCCACAGACCCAGUACUCAACAAACCCAGAAAAAUAUCAGAUAAGUGUCUAACAGAUCGCGACAAAGGUUGAAAAGACAAUGACCACCAAAUUGCCAAGACUAGCCCACGUUGGUAGCAUCAAUUUGGUCCCUACAUUUUGGUAGUAGUCAAUUUAGUCCCUAUUAUUUUUCAACUUGCAGUCAAUUUGGUCCAAAAUGCUUACAUGGCAAACAAAUUUCACAAUUGGACAUUUAAUUUUUAAAAAUAAUUACGAUGCUGAUGUAUGUAAAUUUUAUUGGGCUUAUCAAUGCUUAGGUGAAAAAAAAAAAAAAAAAUUCACAUCAGACAAAUAAAAUAAAAUAAAAAUUAAAAGGUUGAAUUUAAGGAAUAAUUUUAAUUAAAUAAAAUUCCAAGCUUUUCUUGCACUUUCUUGGCAUCCAAACACCACCCCAGAUAGACAAUUUGAGAGGGAAGAUACAUAAUUUUCCAUCCAAUUCAAAGAAUCAAAAGACCUUGCACAAAAAAGAAUUCCAAACCCUCCUAAAAAGCACAAAUCCAAACCAGAUCUGAUUCAUCAGUGGAUAGCGCAUCAGAUCCGGAUAAAGUGCAAUACAAUGGUUUUGCCAGAAGAUUGCUGUAGUUCCUUUACGGAUCUGUGAUAUUCCUAAUGAGCUUCGUGAAUUCAAGCUUGAGCUUUCGCGCGUGUAGUUCGCAUAUGUCAGAGCCAGAUAUUGACAAUUCUCUUCCUGCUUUCAGAUCUGAUCCAAUUGAGGCUUGAGAGGAUCUGACUUCAGUGCUAAUGCUGUUCUUCUUGUAGUGACAAUUUUACACGAACCAGACUUGAAUCCCUGAUUCACACAAAUCCACCCAAAAAACAAUACUUAAUUAACAAUUUUUUCAUACAUUUUUGGUAAAAUUCAAAAUUAAAAACAAGUUUGUUUCCCAAGAAAAUCAAUAAAUAUAAUUUUUGUUCUGUUUACAUUACCGAUCCGGAAAUGAAAGCCUAGUUUCAGCAAUGAAACUCAUUCACUUCAAUUAAAACAGUAUAAAGGUGGUGGAGGUGGGAAGCGUGGGAGUGAGAAUUGAAGAUUUGUUUUGUGUGUAACUGUGUAAGGUCUUUUAAUUCUUUGAAUUGGUAGUGUGUAUCUGGGUUGCACUUUGGUUCCGAAGGAAGUUCAUUAAAAGCUUGAAAUUUUAUUAAAUUAAUUUAAUUUCUUAAAUUCAGCCUUUUAUUUUAUUUUUCUGAUGUGUAUUUUUUUGCCACCUAAGCACUGAUGUGGCCAAUUUAGACACAUCUUAUUUAAUAUUUUAAUAUAAGAUGUGCCAAUUGUGUAAUCUGUUUGCCACAUGAACAUUUUCCGUUAGUGAGUUAAUGGUAAGGGCCAAAUUGAUUGCUACCAAAAUGUAGGAAUCAAAUUGACUGACCCCAAAAUGUAGGACCAAAAUAGUAUUUUCGUCUUAGUUUUUCAAACUAAAUUUUAUGACAAGAAAUAUAAAAACAUUUCUGGUGGUCAGGAUGAUGGUUGCUAAGGGACCAUUAUGUUUUUGUGGGUUGGUAUAAGCCUAGUAUCGUGAAGUGAUCAUAAAAUUUCUGAUAAAAGCCUGUUGUGUGUUGUAUUGCAUGACUGGCUUUUUGAACUUUCUUUUUAGCCACAGUUCACUUCUGCAUUUUGUCAGGUAUAUUGAGGCAAGUAAAGCUCGCCUUUAUAACUCCAGGGGUCAUUCAGAUUCAUCAGUAGCACAGGCAGUCCUGUUGUAUGUCUUUGAGAACAUACUAAAAUUGUUGCAUCCGUUCAUGCCUUUCGUAACUGAGGAAUUAUGGCAGGUAAAUGUUUUCUCUAAUAUUUCAACACUUGUGUUGAAUUUAACUUAGCAGGCUAUAAGAGUUUUAGUUGCUCUUUAGUGUUUUCUUCCAUUUAAAUGUUAUGUUUGGAUAGAUAUCUGUUGAGGUUUGUUUGAACUCAGGUAUGGUGUUGGGUAUGAUUUCAGCAUUGGAAUGGGUAUGUGUAGAUGUGUCUGGCCCGUGUGGUGCCUACAAAUAUAGGAUGCAGGGACUGCUGAAAACAGGAUUGAAAAUUUCCAUUUGGGUUUGGAGAAAAAUAAGAAAAAAUAAAUAAAUAAAUACUACAGCCCAGUUAUUUUGACUUUUCAAAUGUCCAAACUGCAACUUUAGCGCCUUUUUUUUUGUCUUUUUCUCGGGUUGUUUUGUAAACCCAUAUAUCCAAAUUAAUAAUUCUAGUGCGUAUGACAGGCCCAAAUAUUGUGAUUAGUGACUAGAGUCCCUAUGGAGACCCAGGAGGAGAGAAAAAAAAAAAAGGAAAAAAAAAAAAAACCCGGGGGGGNGGGGGGGGUGGGGAAGUGUACCAAGGCAAAUAGUGCCAUGUAGUACCAAUUGUAUUAUCAAGAUGGUCUUUAAAGAAUUCUAGAAAUGAAUAAGAAAAAAGAAACAAAUAGGUAACGUAGACGAAAAGUAUGAAGAAGAAGAAAUGAACUAAACUAUAUAGCAACAAAUAUAUGAUGAUAGUUUUGUGGAUUUUUUUUUUAUCUCUUCUAUAAACAGGCACUCCCUCAAAGGAAAGAAGCUCUUAUGGUGUCUCAUUGGCCACAGACAUCACUUCCAAGACAUGCCAACUCAAUUAAAAAGUUCGAAAAUUUUCAAGCUUUAGUGAGUAUAUCCAUUCUUGUUUCUCCCUCAAAACCUAACAAGCAACCUGCUUUUUUAAAAUGUCAAGUGCUUUCAUUCAAUUUUUGUUCAUUAUGGUGUUUAGACUAGAGCAAUCCGGAAUGCUCGUGCUGAAUAUUCUGUUGAGCCAGGGAAGCGUAUAUCUGCAUCCAUUGUUGCAAGUGAAGAAGUCAUCCAAUAUAUAUCUGUAAGUGCUGUCCAUUUGUCUAGCCAUGGUCCUGCAUGAUAAAAUGUUGCGGUCCUAGAUCUGCAUAAUAUUUUUUAUCAUAGAUGAUUGUUGGGAAGAGAUUGGACCUUAUAUAUAUAUAUAUAUAUACACAGACACACACACACAUGCACAUAAGUUUUGGCUCUAUGGGGAAGGGAAUGGGAUUGAGAGUUGGAGUCUGGAUAAUUUCUUGGAUGUGUUUUAUUCUAAUUUCCCUCGUAGAUGAGGAGAUCAUAUAGUGUAGAAACCAGUAAAGGCCAUAAAGUUUGAAGUUCACAGUUCACUCUUAUUAUGAAGCUUUGAGGGGUGCCAUAGGGGUCAGCUUUCCUUGGAGAAGUGUCUUGGAUGCUAAGGUGCCUAGAAAUGUUGCUUUCUUCGCAUGGACAGAUUUAGACUCAAUUUUGACAGUGGGUGGUCUUUGUUAAUGUAAUAUGUUUAUUGUUGAUUAGUGUCGUAUGUGCAAGAAAAGUGGGGAAUCAAUGGAAGUUACUCCAUCGUUUGAUGGCUAUAUAUAUUUGGUGUUUCCUGCGGAUGCUAUUUGGAGUUUUGUUGAGGAUGAUGGUUCAAAUGCUAAGCUCUUGGAGAGGAAGUUCUUAGCUAGUAAGCACUUGCACGGCUAUGGGUGCGGAUACAGUAUGGUGAUGCGGCAAUUUUUGAAAAAAUAGGAUAUGGGUACGGUGGGGAUAUUUAUGUUAAUUAAUUAUUAAAUAUAUUUUUAUUUUUAUUUUCUAUAUAUUGCUAAGCAUUUUUUUUUCAUAUAAUGGUAAACAUAUAUCAACUUAAGAGCAAUAAUAGAUAAUAAAGUGAAUAACCAUUACAUGAUAUUCUAAAAUUAGAAUACAAGAUUAAAAGUUUGAAACUAAAAAUAAAUAAAAGAUAAGUGUUCAAGACAAUCAAACUUCAUUAUCUUCAACAUGAAUAGCUUCACUACAAACUUCACUUUCACUAAUAGCAACACUACCAGUAGCAUUCCCAAUAAGAUUGGCCUCCAACUCUAGCUCAUCAAGUGUAAGGGUAGCAAUCUCAAGAAUUCCAACCCCUCCAUUUAUGUCAUUCUCAUUCCAAGUAUCUCUUGCAAUAUUUCACAUCUUUGUUGCUACAAGGGCAUACUCCUCACGGCGCCUUGACAAAAUUCAAAGAUUAGACUGCACAAAUACCAAAUCCUCAGCAUGUGCAGGAGCCUUUUUUUUUUUUUUCCUUGUUAAAGAAUGAAUGAAUUUGUAUGUGCUCCACUUCCUCUCAGCACAUGAGGAUGAACGAGGUUGUCCAAGAAGUUUAAAGGCAAGGGUUUGAAGCCUUGGUAAUCUUCCCAUGGUAUUACCAUCAAACCAAGGGAUCUAAGAGCCACCUAUCUUCAAGGUAUCUGGUGAAGGAAACCUCCCCACUAAAAAUGUACCAAACUCAACUUUCAACACUGUUAAUUCAUACUCAUGUUCAAAGUAUCACUCAAACACUUGCUCCUUUUUAAAAAAAUUUCAUGAUCUUAAUGUGGAGGGAGAUUCUUUGGAUUCUCUGAAAGCCAUUCGACAGAAUAAUACCCAGUUAAAAAUAAAAAAACAAAAAUGGAAGAUGAAGCAAUCCUUUUACUAGAAGAGUGAAUUAAGGAAAUUUAAAAAAUGAAAGUACUUACUUAGGAAUUAAGGAAUGAGCUAGGCAAAGUAGUGGUGUACAAUAUCAAUCAAUGAGCAUAUCAUACACCACAGUAAAAAAAUGAGCAAUACUAAUGUUCUUGCAAGCCUUCAUGCUGACACCUUUUCUAUCAUUGAAUCUCACAUUUCAUACACAAGAUGAAGACAAGGUUUAUUUGUGUCAGCUGCUCAAAGCAUAUUAUAAAUAGUAGAUAGGUGUUGUGAAUUCAAUGAUAUAAUCAACAACAUCCCACCAUAAUGUAGGGAUUCUAAGGGGGCUGCUGUUUAGGCUUAGAAUUGAUUAAGGGAAAUGAGAGUUGCUUAGAACAGUGAACAAGGUGUGACAAAACCUUCUUAAGAGAAAUCCAUAUCUUGAAAAUAGCACUAGGCUAAUCUACGUAAUUGCAUUCAAAACUAAUCACAAAGGAACUACAAUGUGGUACUUAUACUAGUUGUUUGGUAUUGGAGCCUUCUAGAUGCUUGACAAGUGUCUAAAUCCUAACGGCUAAUGCUUAAGCAAUCAUCUAACUAACUAACUAACUAUUUACAAGAGGAUUAGGAAGCAACAACUUGAAAUGCCCUGCAUCAGGACUCUCUCGCUUAAGAAGCACUUGACCUGAAGUGCUCUUGGUUGCCACAAGAUUUGUAUGAAUUUUUAGCCUUCUAGGAUGAUGAAGUUGCAUUGUGUAAUGAGUUUUCUACUGUUUGCAGCACACCAAAGGCUGCUGCUUCUGCACAGCGAAGUCCCACACAACUGAACCAACCUUCAUCUUGACCAUUGGCUUGGGGUUUACUUUCCUCUUCUUUGGUUGCAAAUAGUAGGGGUGUACCAUCUUGUACAUAAUGUGUGCGCUACACCUUCUACCAUGGGUAGUUUUCCUAUCAUGUUGACAUGGCCUUCCACUUGCAAGAGAUGACAAACAUUCAUGGUCUUCUUAUAAUAAAGAACACAAUCUUGAAAGCUAUUGAUUGAUAAGAACCCUCUUGAAACUCUAACUUCACCUCCUUCCUCUAUAUUAGCAUCUACUUCUUCUUCCACAAAUGGAUCAUACACUAGUUCUUGAAUGCAUUCCUUCACUUUAUUUCUUUCAAUCGGCAAUAUGCAAUCCCUUCCACCAUCAAGGAUUUUCCUUCCGACUGCAUGGCUGACUUCCACUUAUUAGGGGCUUCAUAGACUUGUCCUCCACAAUUGUAACACUUGAAAUUCCAUUGCUUGUGCCAUGCUUGCAUGCAAUAGCUGCCUUUGACAGACCAGGAACUGCAUUGACAAUAAAACACUUUGCUGCAUUUUCCUUGUCCUUCUUGGUCUGCCAAUAAUCAUUCUUGGUUGGCCAAUAUUGCUGCCAAGGACUUGCACUUGCUGGUACUUGGUUUCUUGAGGCUUCCUAUGCAAAUUUUGGAAGAUGGUUUGCAUAUAGUUGAAAGGCAGGAAUUGCUCUUGUAAUUGUCUCUUCAUUUUGAACCAUUCUUGCACCUUUCCUUUUCUCAUUCUCACUCUUUGGACCUGCAAUUGCCUCCACCAAACAAAUGCCCUGCCCUUGAGUUUAUUUGCUACCAAUUUCACCUUCUUGUAGUAAGGUACCUCAUGGAAAUCAAAGAUUGUUUUCACUUGGUUAAUCCAGUCCACAAAAUCUUCGUGAUUAAAGCUACCAUAGAACUCAGAUAACUCAAUCUUGAAGUUGGAUUCCCACUUUUGCUCAUGAUCCCCUGGUUGCAGAACAGGAAUUUGCCUUCCGUGUCAUAUCCUUGGGCUGUGGGCAAAAGGAUCCUCAUAGCUUUCUUCAUUUGAUGCCUCGCUUCCAUGAUAUCACAGUUGUUUGGCUGCUGUAUUUCAUCUCUUCGAACCUACUCAGUCAAGGCAUGGAUUUGCCUCCUCAACGCUUCCACUUCAUAUUCUAAGGCAAAGUGCUGCUCCAAAACUUCUGGAUCAUUGGCUGCAUGAGUCUCCAAGGCUGCCUCUGGAACCACUACUUUCAUCCCUUUGUCCUUCCUUUCUCCUUCUCAAACACCGUCGUUCACUACCAAUUGGCUCUGAUACCAAUUUAAUGCAGGGAUUCUAAGGGGACUGCUGUUUAGGCUUAGAAUUGAUUAAGGGAAAUGAGAGUUGCUUAGAACGGUGAACAAGGUGUGACAAAACCUUCUUAAGAAAAAUCCAUCUCUUGAAAAUAGCACUAGGCUAAUCUAUGUAAUUGCAUUCAAACUAAUCACAAAGUAACUACAAUGUGGUACUUAUACUAGUUGUUUGGCAUUGGAGCCUUCUAGAUGCUUGACAAGUGUCUAAAUCCUAACGGCUAAUGCUUAAGCAAUCGUCUAACUAACUAACUAACUAACUAUUUACAAGAGGAUUAGAAUGCAACAACUUGAAAUGCCCUACAUCACACCAUGGAUCACUUAAAAUCAAUUCUUUUACUUUUUGAGUUUUUCCAACAUCGUCCUCCUUAUAAGAAAGACCAUUGGUCACUAAUAACCAUGGUUUGAAGGCAUCUUUUUAUCAACUUCAACCUUUCAAGCACAACAAUAUCCAAAGCAAAUCUAGUCUCAACAACAGAAAGUAGUUUUAAAGGACAAAACUCAUUAAACAUUGCCAACCUCAUUGAAUGGUUCAUGAUAAAAACACAUAUGAAGAAUGCAUCAUUAGCAAUACAUGUAAUCCAAUUCAUUCCUCAUAUGUAACUUCAUUUAUUUCAGUUUUUUUUUGCUGCACAAAUAUUCUUCAAAGCUAGAUUAAGAGUGUGGACAGCACAUGGUGUCCAAAAUAUCUAGGUGAACUCACCUUCAAUAAGAGAUCCAGCAACUUUCAUCACAUUAGCAUUAUCAAUGAUGACUUGAACAACUUUUUCAUGUUCAAUCUCUUUUAUAACAUCCUUCAAUAACCCAACAGUAUAAUGCUUGCCUUUGUACUCACUUGACCCAUCAAUUGCCUUUAUAAAAAUUGGACUCCCAUUUGAUGUAGCCAUAAAAUUAAUAAGAGGCCUCCUCAGUGGGUCUAUCCACCCAUCAAAAACUAAACUUACAGCAUUCACAAUCCAAGUGUCCCUAAUUGGUUUCAAAAGUCUUUCACCAUUAGCUCUUUCUUUCUAAUAAAGUGUUGUUCUUAAUGCAAUGUACCCAAGAGGAACAUAACCUGGUAUGUUAUGGGUAGCUGCAUAUGCUUAGGGAUUACAAUAAUUUGGGUUCCUUGCAAAGUGAAAUGGAAGCCCACUGGUAUAGAACAUCCUAGCUAUUGUCCAAUUCAGGUCUAGCAACAUUCUGGAAUACUUUCUCCAAAGGAGAUUUCGCAUUCACCUUCUUCUUCUUACCAUCCUACAUUGCAUCUGAAAACUACUACCACUCCCUUCCCAUUCCCAAUAUGAGGGAAGAGGCCCAUGGAGGCGGGGGGUAAGGGAAUUUGACGUUUUUUUAUCAUUCUCUAUCCUAAUUUUCUCAACCACAUCUUGCAAUUUUUGCAUUAAAUUUAUGCUCUAGUGUCACUUUUGAACACUCUAAUACCAUGACCAAUAAUUUAAACAAAUGAGCCUUGACCCUAGAAUAGGAUCUUGUGAACACCAUACCACAAUAGUUGCACUUAAAAGAUGUGUUUCCACUUGUUCCAGAACCACUAGCUUUUUCCAAUUUAGUAACAUAUUUCCAGAGAUGAGCUUCAUUCGAACAUAAUGAGCUAGUAGCCUCCAUUAAAAAUUAAGUUUAACCUACAAAUAUUUUGAAAAUUUUAUAAUAACUAAAUAAGCAAUCAACAUAAUUUUUUUUCAAUUAAGUAAUCAACUGAACAAUUCAACCUUCAAGCAAGGAAAUAACCUAGGAAAGCAACUCAUAUGAACUCAAGCAAGGAAAAUAGAGGGAGAUUGAGCGAAAGUGAGAGUGAGCCAAAGAGAGAGAUUGAUUGAGCAAUAGAAAGAGAGAAAGAGAAAGCGACAGAAAACAUACCUUCGGCCACUGGCCUUUGCUUUCACCGAGGUACUUCACUGCAUUUGUCGAUGGACUUUGCUGCUUUUGUCGUAGGACAGAGACCAAGAGUGAAGUGAGAGAAGGAGAGGAAUUGGGAGAGAGAUUUGAGAUUUGAGAUUUAGGUUUAGCAUUUUAGGUUUUGAACUUUUGUUUUGAAGUUCUGCCCCGCAAACGCACUGUUUCAGGCUUAAAAAAAAAAAAAAAAAAAAAAAAAAAAAAAAAAAAAAAACGUCUGUGACACACAUGCAGCCGUGUCCCAGCUGCACGCCGUGUUGCGUUCAUGUCCAACACGGUUACGGCAACCAUUUAGCCAUAUCCGUGCUUUCAGAUUCUUAGAGCCAUAAAGAUUCUAAAGCUUGGAAUGCAGCUCCUUUGUGCGUCUUGUGGACUAUUGGGCAUGAGCGAAAUAGUAGAAAUUCUAUUAGAAUUGAAUGGCCAAUCUAUAAGAUCAAGCAAUCUUUUUUAUGAUAUUUUUUAUAAUUAGAUGAUAGUGUUAAAAUUCAUUCUUGUUUAGUUUUAAAAUUCAUAGACACUCUAAAUGUGAAAUUGUAAUUCCUACAACUAUUUUAUUUAUCAUAAAAGAGGUCAGACCUUGAUGCAAAAAGUGUCCAUUCAAGCAAUGUGGUGGGUUCAAGUUUUUGGAAUGAGCCUCUCCAAAAAUGGGGGGUGAGGCACCAACCAUCUCUCCCAAAUUCCAUGGAACCCUUGUGCAUGGGUAUGAUGACUAUAAAUGAUUUUUGUGGGAUCUUGGAGUCCAAGAGCAGAACAUUCAGAUAUGGUUUUUAGUUACAAAUGCUUGUCUGAUCCUUGUGUGCUUUUUGUGAAUGAGGAAAGGAAACAAUUUACUGCAUGAAGUAGUUGCUAUUUGAUUUGUCAUAUAUAAACCUCCAGUCAUCCUAAUGUUCUCGAGAUAUGAUUGAGUUAGGUUGAUAACCUGGUAAUCAAUCUUUGGACACUGGGGGAUUUGGAUUAUUGCAAAAGAAGUUCUAUUUACCUUUCUCUUUGUAGCCUGACAAAUCUUUUUACCAUGUUCUUUCUGAUUUAUGUACUUUUUGAAUUUGAUCCAUCUCCGUAUUGUUGUCUUGGAUCUGGUGUAUGCUGGUCUCUUGUUGAAAUAGAAUUAUGCUUCUGUCUGUUAGCCAUGUGAGCCAUCCAAUUGACCCUGUUUGAUAACCUGGUAGUCAUUAGAGGUUACUUGGAUCACAAGGCACUUGGUAGUGUGACUUUUCAUUAGUCUUCCACAGAUGUUCAUUUACGUAUGUAUUUGUGUUAUGCAGGAAGAAAAGGAGGUUUUAGCACUUCUCUCCCGGCUAGAUGCACAAAAUGUCCAUUUUACAAAUUCUCCUCCAGGCAUGUUAUCUUCCAAAUAUUGUUUUCCCCUUGGCCAAGAGCUGGAUAUGUACUUUAUAAGUUUUUUGGCCCUUUUUCUAAGACAAAGUGCUAAACCAUUUUUCCCAAUGGAUGGAAUGUAAUACCUCAGGGGAUGCAGAACAAUCAGUCCACUUAGUAGCUGGUGAAGGACUAGAGGCGUAUCUCCCUCUUGCUGAUAUGAUUGACAUCUCUGCUGAAGUUGAACGUCUUUCUAGGCGCCUUUCAAAGAUGCAGACUGAGUAUGAUAGACUUAAAGCACGCCUAAGUUCUCCUAACGUAUGAACUUUUUUACUUAUUGUUAAUGCCCUUCACUUUUAUAUGCAUCAGCUCAAAGUGCUAAACUAAUAAAGGCACUAGAAUUAAAUUACCAGUGCAGUAUGCUACUGCAUGCACACCACAGAGCCAUCAUGCUUUUUCUUUCUUAUCAUCAUUUCAAAUUCCUAUCUUUAUUGAAGAGAAGAAAUGAGAAAAGUCAAAAGCUUCCAAAUUUAACAAAGCCUUAUAAUUUAACAUCGUAAUCAGACCUAGUGCUGUGUACCUGCCCAUCAGUUUACCAUGAAGAGAAGAACCAUAAGAAUUGAACUAACCACACAUGGUCCGGAAUCCAAUUAACCUCUCAAGUGACAUUGGAUUCUUAGGAUAUUCUUUGGCUUGCCUUCUACUGAUGUAGGACGAAUUAAGGAAUUUUUCUUUGUAUUAGAGAGAGAAAAUAAGGCUGUUUAGGGGCUUUGUGAACAGUUUCAUGAACAGUAACUUUAGAAAGAAAGAAGAGAGGAGAAAGAACCAACAAAGGCCAAUGUGCAUAUUGCUCAAAACACUCAGUUUUAUUAAUCAACUCAUUCCACCUCCUUGAAUACAUUGAGCAUAGUAUAUAUAAAGACUCUUAUACUAGCAUUAAAAGGAUUUCUAUUAUUGUAGGACUACUAAUAAAGCCUAAUAAAUACUUAACUUGUACCCAAAGAAAAUAAACCUAAGAAACUUAGAAUGCCCUAGAAAAUUCUAGAUUAAAGCAACUUACCAAAAUACCCUAAUUCGUAGGUAUUAUGGAAAUUACAGAUUUUCACCUGAUUAUAAAAUUGACCAUAACUCAUAAAAUAAAACCCAAAUUAAAAAUGUUUUAACCCUAAAAGACUCAUGCCUAGACCAUCAAAAUCCCAUGACCUUCACUUUAACUGGACUUCACACGUGGACCUCAUAAAAUAAUUUUUGAAUAGGCAAAUUUGCAAAGUAAUGCAAAAUUAAUCUUCCAUGGCUUCAUCAUCUCCCACUACUGUUAACUGCUCAGCUGUUCCUGGGAAGUGACAGACACAAGGGACUUGUCUGUUUCUUCUGCUGACUGCAAAGACAUUCAAGGGUUUAAGACAACCACCUCACGAUUAUGAGCACUACUUUGGCUAACUGACCUUUCUGUAUAAUCUCUUCUGUUUUGGUGACCUUUUAAAGGUGUAGGUCACACCAUAUGGGGUGGUAUGUGCUAUACACUCUGAAAACUUGAAACAUGUUGCUGAAGUUUGAAAUAGGAAUUAGGUUAUGUAGAUAAUUUUUGGUAAUUACCUUGGAUCUAGAAGGACUUGAUAAGCCUUCAGGUUAUCUACAAUGACUGAGAAAAUUAAACACAGUGCUAAACUAGUACUGUACUACGGAAGGAUACAUAAUGGAGGAGACUAAUUCCACUUUGGGCUACUUUUAAGUUUUGGCUGGGUUUAACUAUUUUAAGGUUAAUCCAUAUACACCUAAAACAUUGUUAGUUAUUUUAUUUUUUUGUGAGCAAGUUAAAAAAAUCCUAGUUUGAAACAAUUGGCAUAGUGGGAUGCACUGCUCGGUUUUCCAUCUGGGUUAUCUCUUUCACUAUAAAAAGGGAGGAAACAAAGUGGCUGCCACCUAGUUAAAUCACUUAAAUUACUUAAUGCAUUCUGCAUAUUUUCUUGGCAUCAGCUAUUAGCUGGUGGGUCCACUUAGCCAAAUUCUUUCUAGAUUGAAUGUUAUAUCUCUUAUAGCCAAUUCAUUUAUUGAUGCUUUUCUGCUAUUCUCCAAAUUAUAAAUGGAGGACCCCUUUCCUUUCAUUCCCCAGAAGUCUAAAAGGCUAAUAUUUUUUAUUUUGCUUUUAAUGAGCUAGGAAUUGAUCAUUUUCCACUAGGACGUUAUCACCCAUUUUCAAUAUGUACUAUGGAGAAUGUUGCUAUGCUAUAGCAAGAUGGAAUAUGGGGAAUGAACCAAUUUAUAUCACAUUGACUCAGUUGUCAUGGUGUUUUCCCCGUCAUAAUUAUUGUGGUGUGUCUCUUACAAUUUCUAUCUUGCUCUCUACAGUUUGUGGAGAAAGCACCGGAGGAUGUUGUCCAUGGGGUCCAAGAAAAAGCAGCAGAAGCAGAAGAGAAAAUAAUUCUCACCAAAAACCGGCUAGCUCUUCUCAAAUCAAGUGUUCUAGUCACAGAAUAG